GAGAUUUCUUUGAAUGCAGUAGGUAAAAGUGAUGCAGAUGCUGAUGAUGAGGAAAUUGAAAUAAUUCCGAGGAUGGUGAAGAUGUUUCCGUUUGCUACAGAUGAAGGUUAAUGAAAGCAUGAAGAAGAAGAUGGAGAGCUUGAUGUUAAAGCCGAAAGUGAAGGCAAGUCUGAGAAUACGAGUAAUGGUGCACUAAUGCCACAGUUUGAUAUUUUUUCUGCUCACAUGUAAACAUGGCCUCUCUUUUGAGAGGCAGUGAUGGAAAUGAUAGAAAUCCACCAACUAGAGGUAGAAGAGGUUAUACUUUGUUUUCACAAGCUAUUCCUAUAUUUUUCAACGUUUUAAAAUUCUAAAUUCAUACCGAUUUCAUCAGUUUUAGCUUGUGUCGAAGAAUAUCUACUCACAACUUCAUCUUCAUCAACAAUUCCUAAGAUUAUAUAUAGGAUUAUGGAAAAAAAUUUCCAUUUCCAUGACUGUAAGAGCAUACUUACAGCAAACAUGCACCUAAUGUGCACCAAAUGUACACUUAGAUGUUCACAUCUUAUAAAUUUUGAUAUCCUGUGCAUAUACGGGUUCACAACCCUAAAUUAUUAGAAGUCAGUUCGAAGACCCUUUCUUCUUUCAAAGAAAAAUUGAGUAAAAUUUCUUUUUUUCCUACCAUUUUCUUCUCUAUAGAUAAGACUCUUUAUUUUUCUAUUUGUAGUUUAGCAAAUGUGAAAUGGUGCGGACGCUAGUGGAGCCAGUUCUUUGCGAGCCAACGCUAUCGCUCGUGCUGGGUUCUCCAGAAUUAACGGGUCCUAUGAUGAUGAAGUUCAAGAAGCAGGGUUUACCUGAUCUGACUUUUAUGAAUGGAGAAAUGAACGUAAUGGAAAGUGGAAGCAGAAAUUGGAGGUGAUAACAUAGUAGUAGCUUAACUCGUGGAUUUGUGAUUGGUUUUGGGCUAUGAACCGGCCCAAUAGUUUAUAAGUCCAUCACUGAUACAUGUGGAAUUUCAAGAAUUAUUUGUGAUACAUUUGUGACUUGGUAUGUAAGACCUAUGUGAUAUUGAGAUCGGCCAGAAAAUUGUCCAUGAUUAUAUAUUUCUUCUAGUUCACUGAGAGGCCUUGACCGUGUUCUAUACUAGACUAAGGAGUCUUUACUAGGGAUGAAAAUGCCUUGACCAUGUACAUAUAGUUCAUUUAGGGGUCUUGGCUGUGUUCUAAAAUUAAUUAUGAGAGAUUUUUGAGAUCAACUUCCGUUUACCGAAGGGGCUUAAGGCCCAUGUUGGGAGUGCUUAGCCCAAUGGGUAGUCUACACAUGUAUGACCAGCUUACACAUUUCAAUUAGAGGGUACAUUUUUAGUGAAUUUUUUCAGUACGUUUGAUACGAUGAGAUUAUAGUAUGAUUAACAGCUUAUGUUUAUAUCAUGACUUGAGAUGAUAUUUUACGAAGUUAUGUGAAUGUCUCAUUUUUUAGUUUUAAUUAUAUGAAGUUAUCUUGUGAAUUAUUAAAUGAUAUGAACAUGAUUUUUGAUAAAAAUGUAUAAAUGAGAAGGUAUAAUUAUUUUCGAAUUUCUCCUCUCACUGAGAUAUCAACUCAUAUAUUUUCCUACGUUUUUCUUAUCAAGCAGCAGUUAAGUAUCUGGGCACCUUUUGAAGUUGAGCUUUUGAUUUUGGAGUCAGAGCCAGACGACAGGAUUUGCUAGUAUGACUUACUUCAUAGAAUGUUCAUGUGUAGGUGUGAUUUUGCAUCAUUUGUAGAUAGUUAUGGGGCUCACUAUGUAUGUGUAUCCAUAUGUACAUUUCAUAUUAUUAUCUGGGUGAAAAUUGAGAUUUAGGCUUAUUUUUAUUGUGUUGUGUUAUGUUCUGGGAUUUGUGUAUAGUGAAUUACAGGUUGAUUAGUCAUAUUUACAAGAGAGAUAAUGUCGAAAUUUUGUUAAAAAUAAAUUAUAAAAAGUAGUGUUUGUAGUAGCCUUGAUGCUUGAUCCGACUUUUAGUUGGUAUUUAUCAUCGGUGCAUGCCACAUUCCAAGUCCAGUAACAUUACAUGGGGCAGGGCAUGUAAUCGAUGUGGGCUAAAAUUGAUAAUUUGAGAAUCGAAGCAAGUUUGGAUAACUAGUUAAAAUAGGGGAAAAAUGUCUUGCAUCCCUUAGAAUUAAACAAUUAUUUUAGACUUAAUAUAUAUACUAUUGAACCACCUGAAACAAGAACUUGCAUACUUUGUUGUUAUCAAUUUGGAUUCAAAAUAUGCUGAAUUCACCGUCCCUGAUAAUUUUAUUAUACAGUGACUAGCAGCGUGAAAUUAAAUCAUGCAUCAACAAGUGAAAAAUAAAGAAAGCAUAAGAUUGAAUAUUAAAGCAAGUUAUAAACACGAAGAAAGUAUAUAAUUAAUAAAACUAAGUAAACCAUCCUGGAAGGGGUGAUGAUUACUCUUAAAGCACUGCAUUCAAGGAGGGAAAACUAAGCCAUUACUAGUUCUACUGUUGCAUGCUUGAUGGUUCUGCAUUUUGUCGAUUGAUUCCAUUUCCUCCCUUGUGCUAUCCUCCGUGAGAUCUCUCUCUUUUUCUCUCUAUACAUAUUUUGGAAAAGCGAUUUGAGAAUGUGACUACUUUCUGAUUAAGAAGAAGAGAGGUUAUACUAUUGUAAGUUGGCGAGUUGUUAAGCUUUCAUUUGGAAAACAAAUAUACAAACUAUUUAGAAAUUAAGUCAAAGUUAAUUAUAGAUUUCAAUUUCCAAUGCACACACAUGACAAUUAAAGGAGUGUAUAUAUUGAUUUAUCAAUUUAUAGAGAACGUUCUAGAAUUUUGUAAAAGGAAAAAAUCACUGCCUCGCACAUGGAACACACCAUGCCUACACGUAACAUGCGAAUAGGCGCAUGUAUGAUACAUAAUAUUUUUGUUUAUAUAUUCUAACAUGGUCACAUAAUAUUGGCAAAUUAUUUAAUUUUCAAGGUAUUCGAAUAAAUAAUCCAUAAAGUACCAAAUGACCUUCCUCUUCUUACUAUUUCGCUAACUUCAUUCAAAAUCACGUGAAAGAUAAUCACGUGUCAUGAAUUAAAAAAGAGACAAAAGUAUAAGAAUUAAAAUUAAAGCAAGUUAUUUGGAACAAAAUAAAUAUAUUAUGGCUUGCGCACUUGAACGAAAAAUGAAGUCAUUUAAUUAUGUCAUAUUAUACAAAUUGAAAGACAUUUAGGUUUGUUUAUUAGUGUUUUUUUUUUUUUUUUGUACAAAGGAAGAAGGCAAAAAGACUCAAAAUACCAUGAUUAUGUGGUCAACAAUGUUGUCACUUCCAUUAAUGAACAACCAAGGUAAGGCAUAUAUUUAUUUAUUUAACUCGUUCGUUUGCAUUUUUCUGUUCCUUUUUUAAGUUACUUAAUGUUAUUAUGUGCAUAAUUAUUGAUGAAAGAAGAGGACAUCGAGCAUCACAAAUGUCGACAAGGCCCCCUAAGAAGAGUCCAUCUGAAGACGUAAAUGAAACAAGAUCAAACAGGGAGAAGCAUCAUGCUUUAACAAUGAGAGCAAUAAUCAUCCACGUUUAAUAAGGGAAAACGCAGUGAGUUGAAGCCCUACCCAAGGUAGCUUGUCAAAGAACUACCACACCAAGAGCUCUAAGAGUAUAAGGAGAAGGUAAAGUCCAAGUAGCGAUUACAUUUACAUUUUUCUCAUUACAUUGCACUUUGAUUAUGAAUUAAUGGACAGUUCUUUCUUUUGCAAGAUUUGGAUUUUCUUAUUAGUAUAAAAAAAUUGAAAAAAGAAACCACCAAAUCAGGAACAUCAGCAAAUUUAUGAGGAGCAUGGAAUUAUGUGAUGCUUUGAACAUGUUCGUAAUUCUUGGUAAUAAAGAUUUGGUCGAAAACCUUAAAAUAAUCGAGUGGUGGAAUUUUCAUGAAGAUGAAGUCACGAGUAGAGAUUCUUUGAUGCAGGCUAAAAUUGAUGAUUUGAGGAUCGAAAUACGUUUGAAAAACUAGUGAAAAUAGCAAAAUGACUUGCAUACUUAAGAGUUAAAACAUGAUUUUAGAGUUGAUAUACGUUGAAGAUGUACUACUGAACCACCUCAGAUGAGAACUUGUAUCCUUUGUUGUUUCCAAAUCGGAUUCGGCAUAAAGAGUCUAGCAGUGUGAAAGAAAAUUAUGUAUCAUGAAGUGAAAAAUUAAUAAAAAUUAUUAAGACCAUCCAAGGAGAGGUGAUCUACUCAAGCCAGUCAAAAUGUAAAGUGUUCCUUAAUGUUGGGAAAACACCUCCCGAAGAUUGCCCAAAGAUCAAUCAAAGUUGACAAUAUGAAAAUAUCCAAACCACUUCAAGAACAAGGAAAUGAGGAAGAAAUGAUUUCAAUGUAUAUUGGAAGAACAAUGUAUUGGAUUACUUGAACAAGCCUCAAGUUAAUCCCAAAGAAAGAAAAAAUGGCUUUGAAUUUAUACCCAAGAAGAACAAACUCUUACUUGUAAAAUUCUAUCCAAGCCCUCUCGGUUUAUCUCUCUCAAAAUCGUGCCUAGGUCUUGUGUUAUGUUGAAAGAGGCAAAAAAACCGUGUAUAUACCUAGGCGCUAACAUUCUGUUUGGCUUCUGCACUCGGGGCGCCUAGGCGCCAUGUUUCUGCCGGGGAGGCAGAAACUGGGCGCCUGGGCGCCCGGCAGAACCAGCCCCUUCUCUUCCUUCUCUUCUCAUUCCUUUCUCUUCCUUCUCUUCUCACACUUAAUAUGUGCGAAGAUAUAGAAAGUAGGAUUAAGGAGAUAUUGUAACACUCCGAAAUUUCAUAGCAUAGAAUUAUUUGGUGAUAAUAAUCUUGACCAAGAUGGCUUUAGAUAAUUUUGAAAUAGUUGAGGGAUUAAAAUGAAAUAGGUAUUAAUUAUUAUUAUUUUGGGGCAAAUAAUUUUUUAUUGAUAAAGUGAGAUUUUGUAUAUCGAUAUUGGGCAGGAUGUAAUUGACUAGAUAUUAUUUUUGGUAACACAAAAUCAGCGUCGUGUGCAUGAAAUAUUUAUUUAAUUAGUUAGGUGAUUAUGUUAUUUUUUAACCUAUGUUUAAAUUUAUAGAUAUUUCAAUUAUUUUAUUUUAAUCAUUAAGAGAAGUAUGUUUUUGGUAACACUCCAUGGGUUAUAAAAAAAUUUGGGUGUUACAUAUUGGAAUAUGUAUUUGGCUUUCAAAUAACACACUCUUGAGUUAAAACAAGGCUCUACUAAUGAAGGAUCAAUAUAUGGGUUGAACAAUGAACAAAUAAUAUAGUUGUUAAAUCAAGCAAUCAAUGAAUAAUGUUUGGAUCUUCAAAGAAUGAUCUCUAUAAUCAAAAUAUUGUUCAACCACACUUUUGGACAUCCCAUAAGGUAUAUAUUUAUAAUGGGUAAUGUUUGGGACGAAAAUGAACUCAAAAAUAUCUUGAAAAUCGAUUUUUAUUAUUCCUUAUAUAAACACAUUGUUUGAGCGCCAGUCUAGUAUCAGGCGAGUGGCAGCAAAGUCAAUAUUUUCAUCAUAACAUUCUAUUCUGAUGUCUUAUUAUGGUGAUUCAAAGUGCAUUUGAAUGUUAUCUAAGGUACUACAAUUUUCUAGUUUAACAUUUUACAAAUUCUAAUGUUUUCUUUUUGAAAAAUUCAUUGCAACUUGUGACUGAGAAUUUGGCGCAAAACUUAAGUAAUAAUUUGACACUCCUUUGAUUUCUAAUUGCAUUUUAUUGAUCAUAUGUGUUCUUGGAUAUCUUUGGCUCCUCCAAGGACUAUAGUACCAAACCUUUAUUAUUUUGACUUUAUUUACACUUCAUUACUCCUAUUUUAACUUUAGUUACAAUACAAUUAACUAGAAGUGGACAAAUGUCUAGAACAAACCAAGCUAAUCCAAAACCAAAUCAAACCAAGUGGUUCGGUUCGAUUCUAUCAAAAAAAUUAACGGUUUUGGUUCUUUGAUCCAAGAACCAUUUUGUUUUGGUUUUGGUUUGGGUUUGAUUCUAGUUCAAGAACCAGAACCUAAACCAAACUUAACAUUUAAUUAUAUAUAUGAAUUAUUGGAGACUCUAAUUUUAUAUUCAUUGAAAAAUAGCCCAUUAAUUGAAUUAGUCUAUUAAUCGAUUUUUGGUCAUUAUAGAUAGACAGCUUAUUAGUUGUUUACACCCUAAUAAUGUAUUCAUUUCAAUCAUUUCUCCUUCACUCCAUUUCAAUUUACAUGCCUCGGCAUGCUGGUAUCACAUUUCAUCAAGUAAGUGGAGUAUCUCUUCAAGAUCGGAAAAUAAACUUGGUUAAUUACUUAACAAGUUUUUAAACUAUUUUUUACCUAUACAAGUGAACUGUAAAAUUUUUGCAUAAUUCAUUCUUUAUUGUAGUUGUGUGCCUUCAAAUCUGCUGCAAUUAAUUUAGUGAAUCAUUGCUAUUACUUAUUAAACGUUUUUAGUAUGAGAAUGAAAACUGAUUUGUAUAUUCAAAUUAUGACUAUAUUUUGUUUGUUAGUUAUGACUUUUUUGAUCUCUAUGAUUGAAAUUUGAACUUGUUCAAUGUUUGAUAUUUAUUCUUUUUUUAUUUAAGUAUAUAUUACUAACUUAAAUGGUACAAAUAUGAAAAUUUAAGAAAUGAAGCUAAAACCAAACCAAAACAAACCAAAGCCGAACGGUUUGGUUCCAUAUCUUUCAAAAAACCAUUUGGUUCCAUUAUAUAUAUAAAAAAAAACAUUUAUUCAUGGUUCGGUUUGGUUCUAUUGGAACCAGAAUUAAAUGGAAUCUUGUCCACCCCUACAAUUAACUCCUAAUACAAUUCAACAUGAUUUUGACUAUCAAAUUGCCAAUUACAGAUUUAGAAUUUGCCAGCUAUAUAAUUUGGACCUAACACCUCUACUAUCCUCCAUCAGACUUCUCACUUUCUCUCUAUAUAUAGAAUUUUGGGAAACGAUUUUGAAAUUUUGAUCAGUUCCUGAUUAAAAGUAGUCAAGUUAUACUAUCGACAGUUGGCUAGUUGUUAAGCCUUCAUUUGGAAAACAAAUAUAUAAAUGGUUUAUAAUUUUAGUCUGAGUUAAAUAUAAUUUAUAAUUUCAUGUGCACAUAAAUAAUGAUUAAUGGAGCAUAUAUAUUGAUUUUUCAAUUUAUAGAGAAUGUUCUAGAAUUUUGAAAAAGAGACACCCACCUCGCACAUGAAACCACCAUUCCCGCACGUAGCAUUCAAUUAUGUGUAUGUAUGAUACAUAGUAUAUAUUUUCAUAUAUUCUGAAAAAUUCACACAAUAUAUUGGAAAAUUAUAAAAUUUUCGAGGAAAAUGAUUUUUUUUAAAAUUUGAAUAAAUAAGUACGUAAUUAAUAAACAAACCUCAUCUCCUUAAUUUUCUCUGAGUUGUUAAAAAUUACGUGGAAGCAGAUCACCUAUCAUGAAGUGAAAAUAAAGAAAGCAUAAGAUUAAAAAUUAAGGGAAGUUAUUUAGAACUAAGUAAAUUUGUACAUCAUUUACGGCAGCUAUAUGUUCCAUAUGGCUUGCCCACUCAAACCAAAAAUGAAGUAGAUAAAUUAACAAAUUGAAACAUACAUUAGUUUGUUUUAUUACUAUGUAUUUCCUAUGUAUAAAGGAAGAAAGCAACAAAGACUCGGAACAACAUGAUUAUGUGGUCAACAGCGUCGUUGUUCCUCACUAAUGGACAAGAAAUGUAAGGCCUAUUAUUUGAAAAGUAUAAGAUUGAAAAUUACAAGUUAUUGAGAGAAAAUUAAUCUGUAUCAUUUAUUGCUGCUAUAUGUUCUCAAACCUAUUAGUUCCACAUGGCUUGCAUACUGAAACGAAAAAUGAAGUAAACUAAAACAUAAUAUCCUACAAGUUGAAACCCAAUUUAAUGUGUUUAUUACUAUAUAUUAUCUGUGUACAAAGAAAGAAAGCAAAAAAGACUCGGAACAAACAUUAUUACGUGGUCAACAACGUUGUUGUUACUUUCACUACUUAACAACCAAGGUAAGGCAUACAUUUAUUUAUUUAACAGGUUCGCAUGGAUUUUUAUGUUUUUCCACUUAUAUAAUGUCAUUAUGUGAAUAACUAUUCAUGAAAAAAGAUGAUAUCAAGCGUCACAAUUGUCCACAAGCCCCACUGAGAAGCGUCCAUGAGAAGACGUAAAUCAAACAAGUUCAAAGAGGGAGAGAUAUUAUGCUUUAAUAAUGAGAGCAAAUAAUCAUAUCGAUGUAAUAAGAGACGAGUCGAAGCCCCACUAAAGGUAGAAAUUCUCAAAGAACUACCACACUAAGAGCUCCAAGAGAAUAAGGAGAUGGUGGAGUCCAAGAAGCAAUCAUGUUUACGUUUUUCUAAUUACCUCGCACUUCAAUUCUAGAUGGACUGUUUAUCAUUAUUAUUAUUAUUAUUAUUAUUAUUAUUAUUAUUAUUAUUAUUAUUAUUAUUAUAAAAGAAAUACUUUUUUUUGGAAAAUGAAACCACCGAAUUGGAGACAUUAGAAAAUUCAGGAGGAGAAUGGAAUUAUGUGAUGCUCUGAACAGGCUUGUAAGUCUUGGUAAUUGAGAUUUGGUUGAAAACCUUAAACUAAUCUUGGGGUAUAAAAUUUUGAUGACGAUGAAGUCAUGAGUAGUGAUUCUUUGACGCAAGCUAAAAUUGAUGAUUUCAAAAUCGAAAUACGUUCGAAAUCUAGUGAAAAUAGCGAAAUGACUUGCAUCAUUAAGGAUUAAAACAAGAUUCUAGAAUUGAUAUGUGUUGAAGAUGAACUAUUGAACCACCUCGAAUGAGAAAUUGCAUCCUUUGUGGUUUCGAAUUUGGAUUCAACAUAUUCUGAAUUCACCUCUGCUGAUUUUAUUAUACAGAGUCUUGCAAUGUAAAAGAAAAUCGUGCACCAUGAAGUGAAAAAUAAAGCUAGCAAAAUUUAUAAAAAUUAGGGGUGAAUAUUACUAAAGCCGGUCACAUGGUAAAAUGUUCCUUCACACAUAUAUGAGAGAAGUGGGCUUAAGCAAGCAGGUGGAGCUCUAGGGAUUGGAAUCUUAAAUCACUUCAUUCAACGAGAGAAAACCAAGCCAUUGCUAGUUCCAGUGUUGCAUGCUUGACGGUUCUACAUUACGUCGGUUGAUUCCAUUGCCUUCCCUCUGCUAUCGUCCUUCAAAUCCCUCACUUUUUAUAUAUAGAAUUUGGGGACAAAUACAAUACAUCGUGUAAGUUAUCCCCUAACAAAAUCAUUCGUCUGCUAAAGUUAAUUUUGCGUGUCGAUAAAAUGUAAAUUGUUCAUAAUAAAGUCUUAUGAAUAUUACAAAGGAGAAGACCCUAUUUAUAGGGCUACAAAUAACUGUAAAAGGAAAUAACGUAAAAGGAAAGAUUGUGUAAUAAUUACACAAUCAAUUAUUAAGGAAAAUAAUCCUACACUAUUGGAAAAUUAUCAUAGAUAAAUAUUGAUCCAAUAUAUUAUUGUACUCUACUAACCACGAAACGAUAUUGAUUUUUCCUACAAAUUAUAUCAUGGGCUAAAUCUUGCUUUUCCCUACCAAAAAAAAAAGUGCAGAAAGAAUAUUUGUAAGCUAAAAUAUAUACAUUUUCCCAACAAUUAUUUUGUUGGCUAAACCUUGUUUUUUCUCUAAAAAUAAUUUUUCGUAGGGAAAGCAUAUAUGUUGGCUACUAUAUUAAUUUUUAACCAUAUUCAAAAUAAUAUAGAGAUGUAGAAAAAAGAAUAAAUUAAUUAAGACGUGUAGUAUCAAUUAACGUAACAUUGAAUCCAAAAUAUUUCCAUUCACUAAGUAUGGUUACAUUCGGAGUUAAAAAUAAUAUAACAAAUAUCCUUUGCAUCUAUUAUGCACCUAAAAACAUAACUCUUUAUGUGACGAAUUAGAUAUGGAGUUGAUCCUCACCAAAGUAAUCAUGUUUGCCCUCAAUAGCAUUAUUUUUUCUCAUUAGCAUUAAUCUCUAUUAACAAUAGUAGAUUGAUGCCAAGACUACAAAGUACAAUUGAAUUGUUACUUAACGACUUUCGUCUUUUUUUGCAUCCUUUGCUCCAUCUUUGAUAGAGUUGCAUAUUUUACUUUUUGAGCAGCGCAUUUUGCUUCUAACUCCUUCUCCGUAUUGUGUACACUAGAAGAAGAUAUCUCAAUUUCUUGACAGCAACCAUCUCCCAACCCACGAAUUUGAUGUUUGGGCUUUGAACCUAGAAUGGACAUCAUGAUAUUAACUCUAGUCUUAGGAUCUUCUACAUAUAUCUCCUCUAAAGGGGUAUCUUCGAAAAAUUGCUGCUCCUUUACCUUUUCUACAAGAUAUUCAUAAUCUUUGAAAUGCAUCUCAUUCUACAAACAGAACCCACAGGAGAUAUAAAAUUGCCCAUAUUAUUAAAAUAUGGAAGAGAUAUACUACAACUAUACACAAGAAAUGUAGCACUUGAUAAAUAAAUAAAAACAGUUACAGGGCCUAUUUGUUAGUGAUUAUGAAUCAAUUUUUUGACCAUUAGAGGGAAAAAGUGAAUCCCACAUAUAAGUGAAGAGGUCAAAAAUGACGGUUGACUAUUGGAAGUAAUUGUCAAAAAAUUGAGUUUUGGGGGUAAAAAGUCAUAACCAAAGGAGGGCAUAAUGUUUAGUCUUUCUUACUUGUUGAGCCUCGGCUACAUUAUAAGUCCAACACUUGUUCUUCCUUGCAUAAAUGAACUUGAAAGGGGUCAAUUUUAGGAAAACAAUUAUGCUUCAUACACUAUAUUUGAAUUAUUAGAAAAAUUAUUUAAUUUAGAACAUGUUGAUGACAUAUAAGUUCACUACGUCUAUCAUCUCCUUCAUAAUGUAUGAGAAAGGACAUGAACCAGUACAAUGAUUGUACUUUUUCUUCGAUCAAUUCACUAUGUUCAGUGAUUAUGCUUUCUGCAAAGAAAAGAAUGUAGUUAUUAUAUAACAAUAUCGAGAAGAAAAGCUUUGAACUAGUAAAUAGUUAUAAAAUAAAUACAUUUAACUUAUCGGAAAUUGGAAUAAUUACACAAUUACACCCAUUGAUCUAUACCUCUAUCAAGCAUCACCAUAUUAGAGCAAUAUCGAGAAGAAAAGCUUUGAACUAGUAAAUAGUUAUAAAAUAAAUACCUUUAACUUAUCGGAAAUUGAAAUGAUUACAGAGUUACACCCAUUGAUCUAUACCUCUAUCAAGCAUUCCCAUAUUAGAGUUAUUGCACAAAAAAGCCACUGAUAUUAGCCAUAUAUAUAUAUUCUCAAAAUGAGAUAUUUGAUCAUGAAUGGAAAGUUAUUUCUUCUAGAAUUAAUAGAAGAAAUGAAUUUAAAACUAAUCAGUUUACUGAUGUCAGAAUUUUUAGAAAAAAAUUUCGAAAAACUUUUUUCAAAAGAAGAAAUAGAAUCUUUUUAGGAAGAUUUUUUUAAAUUUCCCAAAGAAUAAAAUUUUUUAAGUGGGCAUAUUUCUAAGUUUUUAAUAAAAUACUCACUUCAAAAAAAAAAGAAAAAGAAAAAACUAUUCAAAAUACAAAUACUCCAAAAAAAGAUUUGGAAAACUUCUUCUAAUAAAUCUAUUCAAUCAUCUCAUCCUCCUUUGCAAGAGAUAGUAGAUGGAAAUACUGAAAUUCUUUCUUCUCAUCUUAAAAAGAUAUCUGAAGACCUGAUGAAUCUCAAGUUGCUGCUAAAGAUAUAAAAAAUAUUCAAUCUCAAAAUAAUUAAACUAAUGUAGUUCUUUUGUUACACUUCACUCGUUUAUAGUCAAAGUCAAGAAAUGAUAUAAUCAAAGUUAGGUAAUUCAACUUGUCAAAGUCAAAGCCAAAUAAGGACUUAAGUUGUAGAAAAGAUUUCAUGGGGCCUAAUUUAUAAUUACUCAUACUUAAAAAGGGUCAGAAAUAAUACCAAAUAUGAAUUUAGAGAUUUAAUGUUUUAUUAUUAUACUUAAAGGACUAAAUGUUAUAUUAUAUGAAGAUUUGGGACUUGAGUUGCAAUUAUACAAUAUAAAAGGAUAAGUAAUCCCUUUCUGUCAUUUAGGGAGACAAUUUCAUAUACUAGAAGUCUACAGAAACGAAGCAGAAGAGAAGGAAGGAAGGAAGAAAAAAGAAAAACAAGAAGAGCAGGAAGAAAAAGAGGUUAUUGAGGAAGAUGAAAUAUGGACUCAAAUAUAAGGUUCUUCAUUUCUUCUAUUCCAAGAGGUAAGAAAACACAUUGUUGUUCAAUAUUGCUAAAUUUGACUUUGUAAUUAAUGGCUUGUCUUUAAAGAUUUGGAAGAGAGAUUAGGUAAUGGAGUUGAAUAUUUGUUUAAGUAAAAUUUUGAAAUGGGUUUAUGAGAUAAAGGCAUUCUUCCAUUUUCUUGUGAUUUUGUGGUGCUAAAACGAUUAAUGUAAGGAUUUGAAGUUGGAUUUAUCAAUUUUAGAGCAAUUUUAAGCUAUUUUCGAGCAAUUGUAGUACACAAGUGUUAAUUCCGAAAUUUUGCCCCCCGAAAAGUGCUAUUUCUAUUAAUGGUUUUGAUGCCAGAUUUCAAUAUAUUCUGGAACUUUAGUGCUAAUUUUGUCAAACCUUGGAUUUCCAGAUUUUUAAAUGUUUGAAUGAAUUUAUAUGACAUAUAUUGAAGUCUAUGUAUUGGACUAACUAUGUAUAAAGUUUGUAUAGUAUAUGUAUAAGGUAGUGAUUUUAUGAAAUUAUAGUGAUUUAAUGGAAUUGAUGAUGUUUCGUGAUUUGUUAGUAAAUAAUUGAAGAGAUGAAAAUUUAAAGAACGAUCGUGCUACCUGCACAGGCUCUUUUGCACAGAGCUUGUAUAGGUGCACACACAUGGGGUGUACCCCACACAUGGGGUCCACAUGUGGAGUCCAUCUCCAUGUGAGAGCCCCUGACAAAUCUUAAAUAUCACUUUGUUUAUCUUCAACGUGUAGGUUAACUUCUCCCUCUUACAGUGGUCUACCCCCAUUUAGUUUCUCCAUAUUUGUAUAAAUAUGAGAUCCAUAUUUGGUAGCUAAUACCUGAGAAGCUAAUGAAAUAGACAUAAACCUUGCAAUAUUUCUUCCAAUGAGCUUUCAUUCUAUAACAAAGACAAGGAUCAUUAGAUUUGAUAUUGUCCUUUGCUCAGACUGUUUUAACCAUAUUGAAUGCUUUCUCAAAGUCCCUUUAGAUUUCCUCUUAACACUCUUAGAGGAAUCAAUGGUUUGCCCACUACCAAUUUUGAUAAAGGGCUUAACAGUCCUAAGCAUGUUAAACAACUUAAUGAGUAUGCAUUCAAGCUUAUUCAUAUCAUAAUUCAUAAUUAUUAUGAAUAACUAUAUAACAGAGAUUGCAGAGCUAAGUCAAUACUUAGUUCAUAGUUAAUGAUUGAACUCAAUUGAGACACUUCUCAUGUCAAUCAUCUUCAAUACAUGAGGAUUGACUGAAGAUUCUUUUGUCACUUUGCAUCGGUAUAGUUGUUUGGAAGUCUCAUAUCCUUUCACACAUGAUUAUCAUAUAACUUUUUGUAAUGAAGAAUUAUGUGUUAAUAUCUAUACUCUCAAGUUGUUUUUGUAACUCAGGUGACAUAGUUGCAGAUAUUACAUACGUUGCAGUACUAUUAUCAUCACUGCAUUUAUUAUAGCAGCCACCUCUCCUUAAUCGAGUCAUCACCAGGUGUCUCUGAAAAAUGGCUACUUAAGGACAAUCAACUUUCUGAUGCUUGAGAACAAUUCUCAAAUUACAGUGUCAAUCAAGAAGAUUCAGCUUAGUUGUUGGCAUCCAGUAUGCCAUUUAAAACAUAUGGUUACUCAGGAUUCAAUAUAAAUGUAAAUGACGAAAAGGAAAAGAAUAAUAUAUAAAAUGCGACAUGUUAAAUUAAUUAUGCUCCCACUGUUUAAUUAAAAUUUAUGACCCUCUUACAUAAAUUUAUAGAGUCCAUACUUGACUCUCAGUGGGCUGGGAUCCCAUCUAUUAUAUUAAAAUCUUGAGUAUACUCAACAAGCCUUAAUAUAACUUUUGGGUAUAUACUAUUAUCAAUUGUAUCUCCAUACAACUCCCAGAUCAUUAAGCUGGCUACUCUUUGUUUUCACACAUCUUAUGUGUUAGCUUAAUAUGCCUCUAAAAUUUAUCUCUUUGAGUGUACUCAACAAAAGAUAAAUUUUAGUUAAGUCAAACCCGUCAUUCAGAAAUAUCAAAUAUUUCAUAGUGUCAAACAUAUCCCUAAUGGACCAGCCUUGAGUGUACUCAACAAGCUGAGACGAUUUGGAACUCUGGUUUUUCACUAUAAUGAUAGAAGGCGAUUAUAAAUGUGAUUUACUAUUUUAUGGAGGGAUUUUGCUUUCAAAGGUCUCAUCAUAACAAUAAUAUAUAUUUUAUUAUACAUCUACCAUGCAAAUAAAUAAAUAUAACAUAAUAUAAUAGUGUGGACGAUUAUGGACUUUUACUAUCUAGUCUUCCCGAAUCAUAAGGAAGACUAGUUGAUCAAUUCCUAGGGAGUAUAGCAUUGAACAGUAUCAAUGCACCAUCUCCAUGGUCUCCUCCUCCUCUUGUUUCUCAAUUAGUCCAGCUGCAACUUGUAUCAUAUACUAGUUGGCACGCAGGCCUAAAUGAAAUUGGACUCGUAGGUCCAUAGCAAUAAUAACAAUAACGGACUCGCAUGUCCAAAAUGAUUAAGAGUUCGCAGGCUCAUAACUCGACAAGAUUAAAAAAUCAACCAUUCAACACAUCCAUAUGGUCGAGUCCAUAAUUAUCCACUAAUAAAGCAUUUAUCACAUAAAUGAAUACUUAUAUAAUAUCUAAUAUUAUAUGCAAACACGUUUCAAGUUUCUAGCAAUUAAGGUCGUCUAAACUCUUUUAGACAAAUGGAUUGGAACAAUUAAAUAAUUAAUUAAUCAUAUUAAUCAAUCAAUUUAAUUAGUGAUCAUAUUUAAUUAAAAUCAAAUUUUAAUUAAAUAUUGAAUUAGAGUCCAACUCUAAUUCAACAAUUAUAGGACUGGCUAUUUAAUUAAAAUCACAUUUCAAUUAAAUAUCAAAUUAGAGUCCAACUCUAAUUUCAUAACUUAAGGCAGUUGAAUUUAAUUAAAAUCAAAUUUCAAUUAAAUAAUAAAAUUAGAGUCUAACUCUAAUUCCAAAAAGAAAUUUAGGGCGAGAAAAUUUAAUUAAAAUCAAAUUUUAAUUAAAUGUGAAAUUAGAAUCCAAUUCUAAUUACAAGAAUAUAUUCGGGUGAAUAAUUAAUUAAAAUCAAAUUUUAAUUAAGUGUUAAAUUAGAGUCAAAGUCUAAUUUCAAUUGAAUCAAUAUUUUAAUUUAGGAUAACACUCCUAAAUAAAAUAAAAUUCAAUUUAGGGUCAAAUUUAAUAUUUAAGUUAAAAUCACAUUUUAACGAAAAUAUAAAAAGCCGUAAAUUUUAAACUAAACUUUCAAUUUGGGUCAAAAUUAAAAUAAUAGGCCAAACCCAUUAAAAUACAAUUUUAAAACCAUUUUAAAAAUUCAAAUUCAAAACAAUUUUGAGAUUUGCAAAUUGACCCAAGUUUCAAAUUACAAACAAAACCCUUCAAUUUUCGAAAUUGCAAAUAUGCCCUUCUUCAGAAAAUUACAUUUAACCCCUUUUAUAAUAUUGCAAGCGGGAUCCUACAAUUUCAAAAUUUGCAAUGAGGCUCCCACCUCCAAAUCUUAGUCACCCGACUAAAAAACCCUAAGAAUUAAAUUUUUUUUGUUGGCGCCGGCAUCGCCGGUCGGCACCACAAUAAUGCCCCGUGGUAGGAGCCCAGGUGGCUCCUGCCGCUAUAGCAGCGUGAAAAUGCUGCUCACAUUGCAAGGCAGCGGUGCCUGCUGCCACUCCAGUUCGCCGCUGCCACGUCCCUAUCCAAUCCAAAAAAUAUAUUUUUAUUUUAUUUUAUUUUCAGUCGUGAAAUCAUAUUUUAUAAAAAAUUAAGAAAACAAAUUUUCUUUAAUUGCUAGAAACAUGAAAAAUAUGUACAAUCAACAUUUGAUUAUUCAAUCAUGCAAAUCAAUUCCUAACAAGCACAAAGUAGGUUCUGAUACCACUGUUGGAAAUCUACUUAACAUACACGGGGGAGAAUUAAAACAGAUUUCGAUUCCCACCAAGAAUUGCCUUUAUGUUUAGAUAGAAAUUGUGAUAAGAUUAUACCUUUUUCAGAUCUGCAAACUUCUUUGCUAUUCUUUUCGUUCCACCAAUCUUGAUUCGCCACCCAUAGCUGUCCAAUUAUCCAGCCUCCAACGAUGAUCCACACAGAGAACAAGAUUGCAGGUACCAGAGUUUUCUCCUCUUGUGCUAGCAAGAAUAAUUAUGAGAAAAACAUAUGAAUUGAAAACCCUAGCCAUGUAUUUAUAUAAGCCCAAACGGGUCUGGCCUAGUCCGGUCUAAUAUUUAAUUAAUCCAUUUAAUUAAAUCCGGUCCGUGAAUUAAUUAAUCCAAUUAAUUAAUUCGGGCCCAUAAAUAACCAAACCAAUUAAUUAAUUAAUUUAUCCAACGAUUGUUAAAUUAAUUAAUUGACAAUUGCAAUUUUUCAAUUCUCUUUUGUGUACUACCCAUCAGGUUCACGAUCAAGAUGUCUAACGACGUGAAAUAUUAUUUUGAUCUAAUCAAAAUUGAUAAAUUAAAACACCCUUUUAAUUUAUCAUCAAUUCACACUGGCCGUCCCAGAUUGACAUCUAACAAUGUGUCAGGGCAAUACAUGUGACGGGAAAUGUCAAGUGGUAUGACAAAACCAAACUCGUUUGUUUACCGUGAAACUAUAAUCCUUCGUCAAUAUGAUCCGAUCAAUUACGAGAUCUGGAAGUAUGUCAAUCUCGAUUAUCGAUCAUAUCUUUCACUCCAUUAUUAAGUCAAUAUAAGUCGAAAACUCUUUUUCGACUUAUGAGUACACCUUGGCCGAGAAUUUAAUUAUUGGCUUAAUUGAAUAAAGCGCAGAUCAUAAUCUCUUACUAUCUAAGAGUGACGAAUCCUCUAUUUGGUCAUUUACAACCUUCAUAUGAUUGUUGACAUACCCGAACGAUGUCGAAUUGGCAACCCUUGGCAGAGCAACAUCCAACACCAUCAAAGCAUGACUGUCCUCAUAUAAGGUACUAUGACGACCUCAAGUCAAAAUGACCAAUCCCACUAUCGAACGUUAGAGAUUAACCACUGACACUCAGAUAGUUAUCCAUGUGGAAUCUCUCGACGGGUCUUCAAUGUUUUGUUCUAUAACAAAACAUCCACCUGUUCAUUUAAGUGUCACCACACUUUAGCUUGUGAGAUCAGCUACUUACUUCAUUAGUAAGAAAUGCCACACGUGAUGGUCUAUCCAUAAUAAUGAUAUCCAUAUCUCCUUGUUAUUUACGACCACGGAUGAUUUAAGAUUCAAUCAAAUGUAAUAUGUAUUUCACAAUUACAACUCCUUGUGAUUAACAAAUUACGAAGAUUUGAAUCUACGGACUCUAUUAUUUAUUUAAUUGACUAUUAAUUAAAUAAUAGAUCUGCCAUUAAAUUGCAUUAAUUAUAUAUCAAAAGUAUUUAUGUCCAAAGUUGAUUGGACCUAGGGCAUAAUACUUAUAUCAAAGCCCCACUAAAGGUAGAAAUUCGCAAAGAACUUGUUGGGACCGAUGGAAACGAAAUGCAAAAUUGAGAUUUAAUGGACACCAAUUUGAAGUAUAAUACAAUAUCACAAAAUAUCACGAACAUGAUUAAAGUAAAAGAUGAAUUAAGCAGAGGAACGACGAAUUUUAUUAAUAUGGAGAGAAUUACAACUGGACAGCAAUGAUGCUUCAAUAGAACUGACAGAGGGGCCUUGUAUUUAUAGUACACUUGGUCUAGCCCUAAAAAAGUCCCAAAAAGGUAGAAAUAUAUAAUUCAAUUGGACUCCUAUUUGAGUCACACUUCUAACAGAACUACCACACUAAGAGCUCCAAGAGAAUAAGGAGAUGGUGGAGUCCAAGAAGCAAUCAUGUUUAUGAUUUUCUCAUUACCUCGCACUUCAAUUCUAGAUGGACUAUAUAUCAUUACUAUUAUUUUUAUUUUUAUUUUUAUUUUUAUUAGUAUAAAAGAAAUACAUUUUGGAAAAUGAAACCACCGAAUUGGAGACAUCAGAAAAUUCAGGAGGAGAAUGGAAUUAUGUGAUGCUCUGAACAGUCUAGUAAGUCUUGGUAAUGGAGAUUUGGUUGAAAACCUUAAACUAAUCUUGGGGUAAAAUUUUGAUGAAGAUGAAUUCAUGAGUAGUGAUUCUUUGAUGCAAGCUAAAAUUGAUGAUUUCAAAAUCGAAAUACAUUCGAAAAACUAGUGAAAAUAGCGAAAUGACUUGCAUCCUUAAGGAUUAAAAUAAGAUUCUAGAAUUGAUAUGUGUUGAAGAUGAAGUAUUGAACCACCUCGAAUGAGAAAUUGCAUCCUUUGUGGUAUCGAAUUUGGAUUCAACAUAUUCUGAAUUCACCACUGCUGAUUUUAUUAUAUAGAGUCUUGCAAUGUAAAAGAAAAUCGUGCAUCAUGAAGUGAAAAAUAAAACUAGCAAAAUUUAUAAAAAUUAGGGGUGAGUAUUACUAAAGCCACAUGGUAAAAUGUUCCUUCACACAUAUAUGAGAGAAGUGGGCCUAAGCAAGCAGGUGGAGCUCAAGGGAUUGGAAUCUUAAAUCACUUGAUUCAACGAGGGAGAACCAAGCCAUUGCUAGUUCCAGUGUUGCAUGCUUGAUCAUUCUACAUUUCGUCAAUUGAUUCCAUUGCCUUCCAUCUGCUAUCGUCCAUCAAAUCCCUCACUUUUUAUAUAUAGAAUUUGGGGACGAAUACAAUACAUCGUGUAAGUUAUCCCUAACAAAAUCAUUCAUCCACUAAAUUUAAUUUUGCCUGUCAAUAAAAUGUAAAUUGCAUAUAAUAAAGUCUUGUGAAUAUUACAAAGUAGAAGACCCUAUUUAUAGGGCUACAAAUAACUGUAAAAGGAAAUAACGUAAAAUGAAAGAUUGUGUAAUAAUUUCACAAUCAAUUAUUAAGGAAAAUAAUCCUUCACUAUUGAAAAAUUAUCAUAGAGAAAUACUGAUCCUAUAUAUUAUUGUACUCUACUAACGUCCCCCUCAAAUUGAUGCUAGUAAAAGCAUCAAUUUGCAAUCGCGAACUGGAUGCGCUUUCGAGUCAACAUUUUUGUAAAACCCAUAAACCAAGAACUCAACAUUGCUGAACUUCAAAUCCAAGAACUGAUUCAAAACUCGAUAUGAUUCUCGGCAAAGAAUCAAUGUCCGACCAGAAACUGAUGACACUAACAAAUCAUCACCAAAACACUGAAUGCUCGCACCACACUUGAUGCACCGAAGAGUCACACGUUAACAAAAAUUGUGUCAACCAUAGACAACUACAAGAAAUUCAAACCUAAAAGGCUAAGUUAUGCCCAAAGAGAAUUGAAGAUUCAACCACUCCAAAGAUAGUCCAGAGAACACACUCCCCAAGAAGAAUUUUCAAAAGAAAUUCACGAAGUAUGCCGACCCACACAGUGAACUUUAUCUAUUGGGAGAACUCAAUCGAACACAUAAUUCAUGUUCCGACAAAAGCUCUAAUGUCAAUACACUAGCCGAAAUUCAGUAAUAUUGCUGACCAAGAAGCUGUAGGUAGAAGAAAUCCCACCAAACAACUUACACUAAAAAAUGUCAAUUGAACUUGACAUACCAAUUCCAAAAUCCAGCUAUGCCAAAUUCCAAAUUCCAAAUACAUUGGACCAACACCAAACCAAAUUCGAGAUGAAACUGGACAUAUACAAAACCAAAUUCUCAAUCCCAUAAACUGGGCACAUACCAAAUCAAAUUUCCAAUCCCAUGAACUGGGCAAACACUAAACCAAAUUUUCAAUCCCAGGAACUGGGCAUACACCAAAUCAAAUUUCUAAUCCGUUUGUUAUCUUGUAAUCCACCCCAAAUUAUCAAGUUUUUGCCAUCAUCAUCAUAUCCCGAAUAAUUUGUCCAAUACACUAAUAACAGCCCAAAUCAAUCACCCCACAAAAGAAACCAAAAUGCUGUCCAAACAAAUUUUACCCAAAAUCAACCCAUACAUAAAAUCAUGCUUAGAAUUUGUUAUUUUUAAUUUUUUCAAAGGAACAAAACUGAUUAAUUCUUGCAAAAAUCCCACAACAAUGUUUAGCUCAUCUCUCUUUACAAAAGCAUCAAAUUUGAAGACUUGAACAGGCAACAAAAUCACAAGCUACUUAUCACUUCAAACUAUAUCUAGACAAUAGCAUUGGCAGCACUCGCAAUUCUAGAGAAGAAAAGAUCCAAAAAGAUAAGCAAGAAAAGUUCCCACAUAUCAUAGACCCAAUUAAUCACAAGCAUACAAUUCACAAAAUCCAUGAACCCAACAUCAUAGCCCAACUUAUUACCCCCAAGCCCAACCAUCCAUAUAACGCAGCCCAAAAUACCAAACCCAAAAUAAUAACCUAAAGCCUUAACCUAAUAGCCCAUAACCUAAUUAGCCCGACCCAUAAUAAAGCCCAACUAACAAUGACCCAUCUAAUCGGUCCAGAACACCAUAUGGACCAACAAAAACAAACAACCCAUAUCUUAGUCAAAACCCACUUUCUCGAAAAUUAAAUUACAUGGCCGAACUAAACUCCAACGCCAAUUAAAUUACCUAGCCUACAAAAAAAAAAAGUCAAAUUCGGCAGACCCAUCAACCUAGCUGCUCAACCCUCAACAUUCAUCUUCUAAAAACUGUUGGCUCUCAAAUCCUUGACUCUGGUUUGCGCCACCACAAAAAUGACGAUCCACUUGUUUUUGGAGCCGCACUUUUAAAAUCCCCAAACUUGUCCAUAAGACCACUCUCCUUGCUCCCUUUAUUCUCUGAUUCCAUACUACAAAUUGGCUUAGAGCGAAAAUAAACCAAAGAUUAUUUUCGAAAACAGUAAAAAUGGGGGCCAAAAUCUGGAAGGAAAAGGUCAUAAAAAAUGAAGCCACCGUCCACUUCUUCAGUUAUAAGCACCCACCGUCCAAACAAAGCACCCACUUUCUUUAUUUUAAGUCCAACCACCCAUAUUUUCUAGCUCAUUCAGUGCUUUCCUCUCCCCUCUAUGCGAACAUAUAAAAAAGUUUUGAUCACCGAAUGAGCGGCACAAGGCCGCUCAUCGGAGAACGAAACUUUGCAAGUUUAACCCAAGAUUAAACUUGCUCUGAUGCCAUGUCAAUAAAAUUGUAAAUUGUAUAUAAUAAAGUCUUGUGACUAUUACAAAGGAGAAGACUGUGUAACAAUUACACAAUCAAUUAUUAAGGAAAAUAAUCCUAUACUAUUGGGAAAUUAUAAUAGAAAAAUAUUGAUCCAAUAUAUUAUUGUACUCGACUAACCAUGAAACGAUAUUGAUUUUUCCUACAAAUUAUAUCAUAGGCUAAAUCUUGCUUUUCCCUACCAAAAAAAAAAAGGUGCAGAAAGAAUAUUUGUAGGCUAAAAUAUAUACAUUUUCCCAACAAUUAUUUUGUUGGCUAAACCAUGCUUUUUCUCUAAAAAUAAUUUUUCGUAAGGAAAGCAUAUAAGUAGGCUAUUAUUUUAAUCUUUAACCAUAUUCAAAAUAAUAUAGAGAUGUAGAAAAAAGAAUAAAUUAAUUAAGACAUUUAGUAUCAAUCAACGUAACAUUGAAUCCAAAAUAUUUCCAUUCACUAAGUAUGGUUACAUUUGGAGUUAAAAAUAAUAUAACAAAUAUCCUUUGCUUCUAUUAUGCACCUAAAAAACAUAACUCUUUAUGUGACGAAUUAGAUAUAGAGCUGAUCCUCACCAAAGUAAUCAUGUUUGCCCUCAAUAGCAUUUUUUUUCUCAUUAGCAUUAAUCUCUAUUAACAAUGGUGUAAAUGAUGGUACAACGAAGCAAGAAAAUUUACUACAUAGCUCGUGCUUAGAGUGAUGCCAAGACUACAAAGUACUAUUGAAUUGUUACUUAACGACUUUCGUCUUGUUUUGCAUCCUUUGCUCCAUCUUUGCUAGAGUUGCAUAUUUUACUUUUUGAGCAGUGCAUUUUGCUUCUAACUCCUUCUCCGUAUUGUGUACAUUAGAAGAAGAUAUCUCAAUUUCUUGACAGCAACCAUCUGCCAACCCACGAAUUUGAUGUUUGGGCUUUGAACCUAGAACGGACAUCAUGAUAUUGACUCUAGUCUUAGGAUCUUCUACAUAUAUCUCCUCUAAUGGGGUAUAUCUUCGAAAAAUUGCUACUCCUUUACCUUUUCUACAAGAUAUUCAUAAUCUUUGAAAAGCAUCUCAUUCUACAAACAAAACCUAUAGGAGAUAUAAAAUUGCCCAUAUUAUUAAAAUAUGCAAGAGAUAUACUACAACUACACACAAGAAAUGUAGCACUUGAUAAAUAAAAAAAAAAAGUUAUAAGGCCUAUAUGGUAGUGAUUAUGAAUCAAUUUUUUGACCAUUAGAGGGAAAAAGUGAAUCCCACCUAUAAGUGAAGAGGUCAAAAAUGACGGUUGACUAUUAGAAGUAACUGUCAAAAAAUUGAAUUUUUGGAGUAAAAAAUUAGAACCAAAGGAGGGCAUAAUGUUUAGUCUUUCUUAAUUGUUGAGCUUCUCGGCUACACUAUAAGUCCAACACUUAUUCUUCCUUGCAUAAACAAACUUGAAAGGGGUCGAUUUUAGGAAACCUCGAACUAUCGUAAUAGCAAACAAUUAUGCUUCAAACACUAUAUUUGAAUUAUUAGAAAAAUUAUUUAAUUAAGAACAUGUUGAUGACAUAUAAGUUCACUACAUCUAUCAUCUCCUUCACAAUGUAUGAGAAAGGACAUGAACCAGUACAAUGAUUCUACUUUUUCUUUGAUCAAUUCACUAUGUUCAGUGAUUAUGCUUUCUGCAAGGAAAAGAAUGUAGAUAUUAUAUAAAAAUAUCGAGAAGAAAAGCUUUGAACUAGUAAAUAGUUAUAAAAUAAAUACCUUUAACUUAUCGGAAAUUGAAAUGAUUACACAGUUACACCCAUUGAUCUAUACCUCUAUCAAGCAUCCCCAUAUUAGAGUUAUUGCACAAAAAAACCACUAAUAUUAGCCAUAAAUCAAUAACCACAUAACCAAACACUCAAAAAGUAAAAGAUUUUGAUUAAAAAAAUUGAAAAAGUGUGAAAUUUUGCAAAAGAGGGAUUAGGAAAAUCUCACCAGCUUCACCAGAGGGCAUGAGAUGUGAGCAGUUCUUCAUAUUCAAAAAAAUAUAGAAGCACUUGGAUUUAUCAUCUCAUCAGAUAAAUAGAAGAAGCGAAUUUAAAACUAAUCAGUCUACUGAUGUCAGAAUUUUUAGAAAAAAAUUUCGAAAAACUUUUUUCGAAAGAAGAAAGAGAAUCUUUUUAGGAAGAAUUUUAUAAAUUUCCCAAAGAAUUAAAUUUUUUUAGUGGGCAUAUUUCUAAGUUUUUAAUAAAAUACUCACUUCAAAAAAAGAAAAAACUAUUCAAAAUACAAAUACUACAAAAAAUAUUUGGAAAACUUCUUCUGAUGAAUCUAUUCAAUCAUCACAUCCUCCUUUGCAAGAGAUAGUAAUUCCAGAUGGAAAUACUGAAAUUCUUGCUUCUCCUCUUAAAAAGAUAUUUGAAGACUCACCUGAUGAAUGAUAGUUGUUGCUAAAGAUAUAAAAAAUAUUCAAUCUCAAAAUAACUAAACUAAUGUAGUUCUUCUAUUACACUUCACUCGUUUAUAGUCUACGUAAAAAAAAGAUAUAGUCAAAGUUAGGUAAGUCAACUGGUCAAAGUCAAAGCCAAAUAAGAACUUAAGUUGUAGAAAAGAUUUCAUGGCGCCUAAUUUAUAAUUACUCAUACUUAAAAAGGGUCAGAAAUAAUACCAAAUAUGAAUUUAGAGAUUUAAUGUUUUAUUAUUAUACUUAAAGGACUAAAUGUUAUAUUAUAUGAAGAUUUGGGACUUGAUUUGCAAUUAUACAAUAUAUGUCCACUUAAAGGAUAAGUAAUCCCUUUCUGUCAUUUAAGGAGACAAUUUCAUAUACUAGAAGUCUACAGAAACGAAGCAGAAGAGAAGGAAGGAAGGAAGAAAAAGAAAAAAAAGAAGAGGGGGGAAGAAAAAGAGGUUAUGGAGGAAGAUGAAAUAUGGACUCAAAUAUAAGGUUCUUCAUUUCUUCUAUUCCAAGAGGUAAGAAAACACAUUGUUGUUCAAUAUUGCUAAAUUUGACUUUGUAAUUAAUGGCUUGUCUUUAAAGAUUUGGAAGAGAGAUUAGGUAAUGGAGUUGAAUAUUUGUUUAAGUAAAAUUUUGAAAUGGGUUUAUGAGGUAAAGGCAUUCUUCGAUUUUCUUCUGAUUUUGUAGUGCUAAAACACUUAAUGUAAGGAUUUGAGGUUGGAUUUAUCAAUUUAGAGCAAUUUUAAGCUAUUUCCGAGCAAUUGUAGUACACAGGUGUUAAUUCUGAAAUUUUGCCCCCCGAAAAGUGCUAUUUCUGUCAAUGGUUUUGAUGCUAGAUUUCAAUUUACAAAAAUUGGUGCCAGAUUUCUAUAUUCUGGAACUUUAGUGUUGUUUUUGUCAAACCUUGGAUUUCCAGAUUUUUAAAGGUUUGAAUGAAUUUAUAUGACAAAUAUUGAAGUCUAUGUAUUGGACUAACUAUGUAUAAGGUUUGUAUAGUAUAUGUAUAAGGUAGUGAUUUUAUGAAAUUAUAGUGAUUUAAUGGAAUUGAUGAUGUUUCGUGAUUUGUUAGUAAAUUAUUGAAGAGAUGAAAAUUUAAAGAAUGGUCGUGCUACCUGCAUAGGAUCUUUGCAUAGAGCCUGUACAGGUGCACACACAUGGGGUGUACCCCCACACAUGGGGUCCAUCCCCAUGUGAAAGCCCCUGUACAGGGCCUGUGCAAGAGGCUUUUUCCUUUAAAGAAAUAGAAAGGCAAGAAUAAAUAUAGAAGUUAGGGGAAUUACGUGGUAGAUUUGUAUUAGUUUAAUUGUUAGAUUUUAAUUUGAGUUAUUAUAUCGUUAUUUCAGGUAGUGGCUUGAAAGUUUGGAAAUGCCAGUCAAUUUAAUAGAAUUGCUAUCCAUACGUACAUCUGUGAGUGAAAAAACUUAUAUAUUUUCAAAUAGUAAUAAGGUACUUACAGUAUUACAUUACGUGUGAUUAUACAAAUUAUUUGUUUGAUUACAUGAUUAACAUGGAAAGAUUCUUUUACUAUGAUAUAUGCAAAAUUUAAAGUUUGGAUAUGGAUUAUUUGUGAAUUGGAAUGUGAGACAUAUAUGAUAUUGAGAUCGACCAGAAAAGUACCCGUGAUUAUAUACUUCUUGUAAUUCACCGAAAGGCAUUAACCGUGUUCUACACUGCACUGAGAGGUCGACUGAGGAUGAAAAGGUCGUGACAGUGUACAUAUAGUUCAUUGAGGGGUCUUGACCAUGUUCUAGAAUUGAUUAUCAUAUGUCUUUGAGACCCACUUUCGUGCACGGAGGGGGCCAAAGGCCCGUGAUGUUAGAUUUAAUAAGAGGGUACAUUUUUUGUGGAUCACAUGUGAUGUGAUGAGAUGAUGGUAUAGAUAUCAGCUGAUGACUAUAUCGUGAAUAUGAGAUGAUAUUUACAGAAUUAUGAGAAUGUCUCUUUUUUGCUAUAAUUUUAUGAGGCUAUCGUGUGAAUUACUAAACGAUAUAUACUUGAUGUCUAUGUAUGAGAAAAAUGUUUAAAUGAGAAAGUAUAAUUAUUUUCGAAUUCUUCUACUCACUGAGUUAUAAACUCAUAUUUUUCUUAUAGGUACUAUUGGUCCCUGAUAGCUUGAGGAGCCUGGUGGUUUUAGAAUUAGAACCACACAAAAUAUUUAGUGAUACAAUUCAUUAUGGUAAAACAUGAAGCAAUAAUUUCGAUGAUUUUGGCGCAUAUUUUGUCGUAAAUCAUAAUCAGCCUUGUGGUUGAUCUACCAUCUAGUCAGCAUCUAUCAUCGGCACAAGUCACGUUCCUAGUCCAUUAGGGUGAUUCGGGACUAGACGGGUCGUAACAUCUUCAACCUAUGUGUUCUCAACUCAACAGCAUUGAAUUAAAAUUCUGAAACUGAGACACCAUCAAUUUCAAAAACUAUUAAGCCAAUGGAGUCAAUUUUAAUAAACAAGCAUGAGGCUACUCCAAAAAAUUCUAUUAAAACUCAGGUCAAUGUCCUAAAAGAACUAGCAACUUAGUUAUCAAAACUAUCAUCAUCUUUCACUUCAAAUAACAUCAAUACUAUUGAUGAUCAUAAAUCUCAAUUUAUUGAUGAUAAAAUUCAUUAUAUUUUUAAACUUUAAAACAAAAAAGUUCAAUUCUCAAAAGUUCCUCCUUAUUAUCUGAAAAAUACUCCUCCUGGUUUACUUUUUGAAGAAAAGUCCAAAAUCAACACAACAUUUUUUGGCAAUGGUAUAACUGUCUGGAAUAUUGAUGGUUUAACUGAAUAUCAAAAUUUUCAAACUCUUGAAAGAAUAGGUGCUUGCUUUAAUGCUUAUAUUCAAGAAGGUCGAAGCAACAAAUAAUAUUAUUCAAGGUUUUGCUGGACAAAUUAAUAAUCCGUGGUUCAAUUAUAUUACUCAACAAGAAAAUUUUCAAAUUGGUCAAGCUAUAAAACAUGAUGGCUGCAAUGAUAAUUUUAAUACUUUAAUUUUUAGUAUUAUUAAACAUUUUGUUGGUUCUCCAACAGAUGUUAUAGAAAAGAUUUCAAAUAUUUUAAUGACUUUAAAUUGUUCAAGUUUAUAGGAUUUUUGCUGGUAUGAUGAUAUGUUUCUAACACAAGUAUUUUUGCGAAAAGAUUGUAAUCAAACUUAUUGGAAAAAAAGAUUUUUAUCCAGACUUUUAAAAUUAUUUUCUGAAAGAGUUAAAAAUUCAAUAAAAAGGGAAUAUGAGAAUAAUAUUCUAUAUGAUAUUCUUACAUACGAAGAAUUAAUCAGUUUCAUUAACAGAGAAAGAUUAUCUCUCUAUAAUGAAAUUAAACUCAAAUCUAAAUUGCAAUCAGAAAGAUUAGACAGUCAAAGAGAACUAGGAUCUUUCUGUGAAUAAUAUGGACUUGAGAAAAUAAUUCCACCUUCAAAAUUAAAAAGAAAAAUAUUUUCAAAAAGAAAAUUUUAUUCAAAUGAAAAGAAUUUCCAAAAACCUUCUUAUUCAAAAAAUUAUUCUAAAAGGAAAUUUUAAAAAAGAAAAUUUUCAAAAAAAAAAAUAAUGUUGCUUGUUGGAAAUGUAGAAAGCGAAUAAUCUUCAAAUAGACGAAGAUAUUAAAUUUGAACUCCUCAAUCUUAUCGAUUCAGAUUAAAGUUCUAAUGAAGAAAACAUUUCUGACUUAGAACAUGUUUAUCAACAUCAAGAAGAUUAUGAUGUUGAAUCCAAUUCAAAUUCUUCCUUCUCUUCAAAGCAAAGUAGAGAACUUUAUGGUUGUAAUACUAUAAAUGUUCUUACUAAACAAGAAGAACUUAUUAAAGAGAUUGUUGAUCAAAUUGAAGAUCCAUUGCUCAAAAAUAAAAUUAAUUCUCUUUUACCUUCAAAUUCAAAAGUUGAACAUUUUAAUAUGCAAAAUGUUUUAAAUCAUUUUUAAAAUUCAAAAUCCUCUAGUUCUGAUCUAAAGUUAGAAAUCGAUUCAAUGGAAUCUCAAAUUUCUAUUCUUGAACGUCAAAUGAAAGAUGUUCGAAUAGAAGUUGCACUUCUCAAAACUCAAAAUUUGAAACAAAAAUAAAAAAAUUCUUCGUCCUCCUCUUCUAGGUCUUUUGAUGAAGAAUUUAUUCCUCCUAAUCUUCAAUCUGAAGAAGAAAUAGUUAAUGUUAUUAAUUGUAUUCAAUUUAAAAAAUGGUAUUGCAAUAUGACUAUUGUGGUCAAUAAAAAAUUCAAAUUUACUUCUAGAGUCUUUACUGAUUCUGGAGCUAAUAAAAAUUGUAUAAGGGAAGAACAUAUCCCUACAAAAUAUUUUGAAAAAAUUACUGAACAUUCUUACAGUGCCAUUGGUUCAGUAGUAAAAAGCAUAAAAUUUAAUAUAAGCUUUCAAAAGCUUAUGUUCGCAAUUCAAACAUUUGUUUCAAAAAUAUAUUUUAUCUCGUUAAAAAUAUAUAUCAAGAAGUAAUUCUUGGUACUCCUUUUUAUUGUUCAAAUAUAUCCUUUACAAGCUAAUUCAAAAGGCUUAACUACAAAUAUUUUUUGUCAAGAAAUUUGUUUUAAAUUUACUAAUCCUCCUUUUUAUAGAGAUCUAAACUCUUUAAAAGAAGCAUCUAUUUCAGAAAUUAUUAAUAAUACAAAUCUUAAAAAAAACCAUAUUAAAUUUCUUAAAGAGGAAAUUAAAUUUCAAAGAAUUAAAAAAUAAUUACAAAAUCCUUCAAUUGAAAGAAAAAUUUCAAAUUUUCAAGAACAUAUUGACAAAAAAAUUUGUUCAACUGUUCCAAUAGGAAGAAACACAUUUUUUCACUUCCUUAGAAUUCUGAUUUUCAUGAAUCAAAUAUUUAUACAAAAUCUCGUCCUCUUCAAAUGAAUAAAGAACUUUAAGACCAUUGCAUCAAGAAAAUUAAAGAUUUACUUGACAAAGGUCUUAUACGUCCAAGCAAAUCUCAUUGGAGUUGUUCUGCAUUUUAUGUCAAUAAUUCAUCUGAAAUUGAACGAGGUGUUCCCCAUUAAUUAUCACUUAUAAACCUCUCAAUAAAGCUCUUCAAUGGAUUUGAUAUACACUACCUUAAAACAAAGACCUAUUAAAUAGGUUAUUCAAAUAUGUUAUCUUCUCAAAAUUUAAUAUGAAGUCAGGUAUAUGACAAAUUCAAAUUAAAGAAGAAGAUAGAUACAAAACUAGUUUCAAUGUGCCUUUCGAACAAUACGAAUGAAAUGUUAUGCCAUUCGGUCUUAAAAAUGCUCCCUCUGGAUUUCAAAAAAUUAUGAAUGAUAUUUUUUAUCAUUUUUCAAAUUUUAUUAUUAUUUACAUUGAUGAUAUUCUUAUAUUUUCUGAAAGUAUAGAACAUCAUUUUAAGCAUUUAAAUAUAUUUAUUCAUGUUAUCAAGAAAAUGGCUUAGCAGUCUCUGCUAAGAAAAUUGGUUUAUGUCAAAUAAAAAUUAGGCUCCUAGGCCAUAACAAUCAUUUAGGAACUAUUACUCCAAUCCAAAGAAGUCUAGAAUUUGCCAAUAAAUUUCUAGAUGAAACAAGUUUGCAGCGCUUUUUAGGCUGUAUCAAUUAUGUUGCUGAUUUUAUAAAAAAUAUACGUUAAAUCUAUUCCCCACUUUUCAAAAGAUUACCAACAAACACCGACCCAUGGAGUCUCAAGCACAUAGUUGCAAUUCAAAAUGUCAAAAAAACAAUAAAGAAUAUUCCCCAUCUUUCAAUACUUAACCUGGCCUCUAUUAUUGUUGAGAUAGAUGCCUCUGACAUAGGGUAUGGUAGAGUACUCAAAUAGGUUCCAAACCAGUCAAGUCAAGAACAACUGGUUAGGUAUCAUAGUGGUGUGUGGAUCGGCCCUCAAAAGAGUUAUUCCACUAUCAAAAAAGAAAUAUUAUCAAUAGUACUUUGUAUUUCAAAAUUUCAAGAUGAUCUUAUUAAUAAAAAAAUUACUUUGAAAACUGAUUUUAAAACAUCUAAAGAUCUUUUACAAAAAGAUGUCAAAAAUCUUGUUUUAAAACAAUUUUUUGCAAGAUGGCGAGCUAUUUUAUCUUCUUUUGAUUUUGAAAUCCUUUUUUAUACAAGGAAAAUCAAAUGUUCUUGUAGACUUCCCCACAAGAAAAUUCAUACAGAAAAGAGAGAUUUGUGAGAAUUCAAAAUUGACAAAAAAAAGUUCAUGAGUUGGACAGAUGAAGUAGAGAGAAAUAUUCAAAAGAAAAAUCUUCAAUGACUUCAUCUGAAGCUCAAAAUCCUUUUCAAAAUUAAAGUAGUGAAGAGAAAAAUUCUACUCCAUUAUUUUCAAUUGAUGGCCUCUUUAAAGGAUUAUCAUCAAAAUUUGAAGAACAAGCUACUUUUUCUUCUCAAAAUACUCAAAACACAAACCUUUCAACUCUUGUUUUCAAAAAACCAGAUUAUUAUAAAAAAACCUGUUCAAGGUUCUAGAAAACUUACUCAAAUAAACCCUCUCCAACUUUUCAAUAUUUUCACAAAGGAGCCCAUGAACCCAUCUUCGAAAUGGAAAACAUCUUAGCUAAAUAGAUAUAUAUCCCUUGAUGAUUGUCUUUUAAGUAUUUUCCAAAAAAAAAAAAAAAUUGUUUCAUGUCUGCCAAUAUAAAAAAUUCCUGAGAAUAUUAUGAAGCUAACCUUAUGAAAACAGGAUCAGCUCUAAUUUCUCAUACUCCGAAUGAACGAAAUUCAAAUAAAUUUGAUUUUUCAAAAUUUAGUAUUUAAAGAGUGUUGUCAUGCGAAAACUGGGGACAACAACCAUGGGAUGAGAAAAGAAUAAGCCUUUCUAAAGGUGAAUAAUUUGAAUCUCAUUUCAAUUACUUUGAUUGAAGGAUGCUUGGUAUAAUGUCUUUUACUUUGGACCAAUGACUCAUUCUUGGUUUAUUCUUUUCAAUCAAAAUUUUCUAAAAUGGUUUGAAAAUUGGUUCAAAUGUUUUGGAAUUGAAGAGAAGAUCUUACCCAGUCUCACUCUUCAAGGAUCCAAACACUUCAAAAGCGAAGCAAAAUCCAUUUUGAAGCCUCAAGAAAAUCUUUUGAUUCAAUUUGCAGUCAAUUUGAGAGUAUCGUGGAUACUCUGCUUGGACAAUUUUAUCCUUCAAGAUUCGAACUCUGAAUAAUAUACUCAAAAAAUUAUUCGGAGAUUCAAAGUCAAAUGGUGGUCAAAAUUUGGAGAAACAAAUUGUUGUUUAAAAGCAAUUCAAUCAUGGAUUCAAGAACAAAGAAAUAUUAGUGUUCCAAAAAUUUUAAGGAAAAGUUCGAAGAAAAAUGCAGAUUUUCUCACAGAAAAAUCAAGACUUUUGGCCAUGUUCAAUCAAUGCAAAGCGCCAUUUCAAAAAAAAAUAAAUAAAUUGGUUCUUUGGCUAAAACUACAUCAAAGAAAUUAAAGUCAGUUCAAGAAAAUCUUCUCAAUCAGGAUCAAUAUCAAACCAUGCAUAUGGCAACGAAAACAUAUAUGAUGGACCAGAUAUUGAUGACUUAGUUAAUCAAAAGACACAAAAGAAUUCAAAAUGACUAUAUGACCCAGUUAUUUAGAUGAAAUGCAAAAUUAUGGAACCCUAAAGUCAAAAGAGAUAUUAUUUAAAUUUUGUCUACUACCAAACAAAUUAUUUUUACUAGCUUUAUCCACUUUCAAAUGGAUGUAACUUUAUUAAAACCACUUUAAUAAAGCUUUAUUCAAAGUUGGUGAAAUUGUCAAAAGAAAACUCAAUUAAGGGAGACAAAGACAAAAAUUGGUGAAAACUUUUCAAACAGAUGUUGCAAAAUUCAAAAGGUGCAAUAAUUCAAGUUUCUUUUUCAAAUUGAAGAAAUUUUCAAGUUCGGAUUGAAGUGAAAAUAAAAAAAAUAUUGAAUUGAAGAAAUAAUUAUAUUGAAGUAUGAAAAUUGAUAUCACAAGAUAAAAUUUUGAAAUAAAAACAUUGAAUUACAAGAUUGAAAAUUAAGAAAAUUUAAAAAUACAAGAUUUUCUCAAACUAUCUUGAGGCUAAUUUAUCUCCUGCUAAAUCCACUCAGAAGAGAUCUUGAAAUAUUGAUCUGCUUAAAUACUUGAAUUCUUGAGCUCUGGGCUUGAAAAUCUCUUCAAUUUGAAAAAUAAUCUUGAAUUAUCGCACCUUUAAAUUUUGCAAUGUCUUUUUGAAAAGUUUCCAUCAACUAUUGUCUUUGUCUCUCAUAAUUGAGUCUUCUUUUGACAAUUUCACCAACUUUGAAGAAAACUUUAUUAAAGUGCCUUUAAUAAAGUUAUAUCUUCUUGAAAGUGGUAAAGCUGGUAAAAAUAAUUUGUUUGGUGGUAGACAAAUCUUAAAUAAUAUCACUUUUGACUUUAGGACCCAGUAAUUUUACAAUUCAUCUAAAUAAAUUGGUACAUAUAGUCAUUUUGAAUUCUUUUGUGUCUCUUGAUUAAUUAAGUCAUCAAUAUCAUUGUUAUAUGUAUGGUCUGAUAUUGAUCCUAAUUGAUGAGAUUCUUUUUUAACAGACUUCGAUUUCUUUGAUAUAGUUUUAGCCAAAGGAGCAAUUUUUUUCUGAAAUUAUUGCUAAUUCCUCUGGCGCUUUGCAUUGAUUGAACAUGGCCAUAAGUCUUGAUUUUUCUAUGAGAAAAUCUACAUUUUUCUCUAGACUUUUCUUUGGAAUUUUUGGAACACCAAUAUUCCUUUGUUCUUGAAUCCAUGAUUGAACUACUUUUGGACAACAAAUUGUUUCUCUAAAUUUUGACCACAAUUUUACUUUGAAUCUCUGAAUAAGUUUUUAAGUAAAAUAGUCAGAGCUUGAAUCUUGAAGGAUAAAACAUAUCCCAAAAGAAUAUCCAUGAUACUCUUAAAUUGAAUGCAAAUUGAAACAAUUUAAAUUUGAGUUUAAUUUCAUUACAGAGAGCUAAUCCUUCUCUGUUAAUGAAACUGAUUAAUUUUCCGUAGGUAAGAAUAUCAUAUGGAAUAUUAUUCUCAUAUUCCCUUUUUAUUGACUUUUUAACUCUUUCAGAAAAUAAUUUUGGAAGUUCGGAAAAAAACCUUUCUUUCCAAUAAGCUUGAUUACAAUUUUUUUGCAAAAAUACUCGUGUUAAAAACAUAUCUUUGUACCAGCGAAAAUCCUAUAAAUUUGAACAAUUUAAAGUCAUUAAAAUAUUUGAAAUCUUUUCUAAAACAUCUGUUCGAGAACCAACAAAAUGUUUAAUAAAACUAAAAAUUAAAGUAAUAAAACUAUCAUUGGAACCAUCAGGUCUUAUAGCUUGACCAAUUUGAUUUUUUUCUUGUUCAGUAAUAUAAUUGAUCCACCAAUUAUUAAUUUGUCCAACAAAACCUUGAAUAAUAAUAUUUUUUGUUGCUUCAAUAGCAAAAUGACUUCCUUGAAUAUAGGCAUUAAAGAAGCACCCAUUCUUUCAAGAGUUUGAAAAUUUUGAUAUUCGGUUAAACCGUCAAUAAUCCAGACAGUUAUACCACUUUUCUUGAAAAAGUAAAUCAGGAGAAGUAUUUUUUUGAUAUUAAAGAGGAACUUUUGAAAAUUGAACUUUUAUGUUUUGAAGUUUAAAAAUAUAAGGAAUUUUAUCAUCAAUAAAUUGAUAUUCAAGAUCAUCAAUAGUGUUGAUGUCAUUUGAAGCAGAAGAUGAUGAUAGUUUUAAUAACUAAGUUGCUAGUUCUUUUAGAACAUUGACCUCAGUUUCAAGAGGAUUUUUUGGAGUAGCCUCAUGCCUGUUUGUUAAAACUGACUCUAUUGGCUUAAUAGUUUUUGAAAUAGAUGGUGUCUCAGUUUUAAAAUUUAAUUCAAUUCUUUGAGUUGAGAACACAUAGAUUGAAGAACUACAUUAAUAUAGUUACUUUGAAAUUGAAUAUUUUUUAUAUCUUUAACUACAACUUGAGAUUCAUCAAGUUGUUCUUUAGAUAUCAUUUUGAGAGGAGAAGCAAGAAUUUUAGUAUUUCUAUGUGGAAUUACUAUCUCUUGCAAAGGAGGAUGAGAUGAUUAAAUAGAUUUACCAGAAGAAGUUUUCCAAAUCUUUUUUGGUGUAUCUGUAUUUUGAAUAAUUUUUUCUUUCUUUAAAGUGGAUAUUUUAUUGAAAACUUUGAAAUAUGUCCACUCAAAGAAUCUAAAAUCUUCGGGUAAUUCAAAAGAUUCUUCCCAAAAAGAUUCUCUUUCUUUUUUUGAAGAAGUUUUUCGAAAAAAAUUUCUAAAAAUUUUGACAUCAGUAGAUUGAUUAGUUUUAAAUUCAUUUCUUCUAUUAAUUCUAGAAGAAUAACAUUGCAUUCGUGAUCAAUUCUCUCAUUUUGAGAAUCAAUCUCUUGUUUUGAGAAGGGGGAACCAUAUCAGAUAAAGUUGGAGAAUCAGGUUGUUUUGACUCUUCUUCUUUAUCUUUAUAAUGAGGUUUUGGAUUGUUGGUAUUAAAAUCAACACCUACAAGAGAAGAUGUUGAAAAUCUAGCAGAUUAAAAAGAAAUUCUAAGUCUAUCAUCAGAUCUAGAAGAAUAAGAUCUUUGAAACCGAGAAGAAGAUCCUUUAAAAAUCAUUUUGAUAUUUCCAUCAGAUAAAAUAAGAAUUUGAUUUGGAAUUGUUUGAACAACAACAAGAAUAGAAUUUUGAACAUUUUCGAAAUUCCAUUCAGGCCCUCUAGAUUGAAGAUUCCAAGGAACUCUCUUAGAAAUCAUGGAGUUUGAAUGAAAAUGAUUAAAUUCAACCAAAAGACUUUCAACUUUUGGAGAUGAGAAUAGAGCGCCAAUAUUGAGCUGAGUAUUCAUGAGCUUGUAAUAUAUUUUAUAUAUUACAGCAAAAGCAUUUGAACAAUCAUCAAAAUCAAGAGUUUUGUUUAAAUAUGAAGAUUUAGAGCAUUAAGAAUAGCUCCAUCAUUGAGAUUGAUAGAAAAAUUUGGAUAACAAUUUGAAUAAACGGGACUACUUUCCAGAUUUGAUUGUAGAAUAGAUAAUAAUGAAUUUUCAAAUUUGAGAAGUAUCUUAUCUCUAGGAGUUAAGAGAAUAGGUAUGUCUAAACUAAGUUGAAACAAUGGUUUAAUAGCAAUUUGUACUAAUCCAUCAUGAAGAUAUUUAAAUGUCUUUCUGUAGGAUUCAAUAAAUUCUUUUGAAAAUAAAUUGAUAAAUGCAUUUUGACUCCUAAAAAGUAAAGUUUGUUCAAAAGUUUUGAUGAUAUAAUUUUGAGUAUAAUCAAACUUUCUUAUUUCAUAGAUAGAGUUUUUUUUUCUCUAUUUUUGGAAUAGUUUAGUUAUGCAAUCUUUGUUCAAUUUUAGCAAUUUGUUCAUGACUAUUAAAAUCAUUUGGUAUUAGAGUUGUAAGAGAGUGAGGCAAGGUUAUGGUAAUUUAUCAUUUUAGGCACUGUUCAAUAGGAGAAAUCUAGUUCAAACCUAGUGUUUGCUGAAUAGAGUUGGUCAGCCCGUGUUUUGCCAGUGUAGGCAUUUUUGGGUGGUCCCGUUGUAGGCUUGAUAAGAGUCAGUUUUUUUUAUUGUAUUGUUUUUAUAGGGUUAAAUUAUUAUAUUUUCAUUUUAUUUAAUUAUGUCUUUGAUUUCAAAUUGGUUAAGGAGAUCUAGAAAUAGAUCUGAAAAUAUUUCAAAUGUUUUUCAAAGUGAAUAAGAAUUAAAUCAAGAGAUUGUGUGUGUGUGUGUGUGUGUAUGUUCAUGCAUGCAUGUAUCAAUAUGGCCUCGAAGAGAAUCAAGGCAAGUUCUAGAGAAGCAAAUCCAUGGAAGAAAAUCACUCAUUAAAGAAAAUAGUAAGAUUGAUAUGUAUGUCUCAGUCAUAAGGUUCAAAAUCUCACCAACUUUUAGUCUACAAAAUCUUGUUACUACCAUCCACAAAGAAAAUAACCACGCUAAUUAACUCUAAGUUGGGAGAUUACUUAUUCAAUCAUGUUAUAAAUUCUUCAGAAGCUUGAUUGAAUCUAGCAAAUAGCAUACACAACUAAAAUCGAUUAAAACCACUUUGUUUUCUCCCUCUUAUGUCGAAGUUUUAUCAAAAAGUCAAAAAUAAACACAAAAUAUGAACUGAAAAUUUUAGACUCAACCUAAAUUCCCUCUUCCACAUUUAAAACUUACAUUGCUCCCAAUGUAAGGUAAAAUACAAAGAAAAGGAUAACAUUAACCAAAUAUAUGAAUGUAAAAAGAUAAAAAUAAAAAGCUAACGGAAUGAACUCCCCUUGGGUUGCCUCCCAAGCAGCGCCUUUGUUUAUUGUUUUUGGCUAGACUUAUUGCUUCCUUCUUCAACCGGCAUCAAUUGGAUUUCCAAGGCCCCAUGUUCUCACCUCUUCUAUUUGGAAACCUGCAUAGAAAUAUCUCUUGUUAGAAACUGACAAAACACUAUGCAAACUUUUACCUGACUUUGGAGAAGCAUUAAACGCUGCAAUGGUCUCUGUAAGGCAGUAUUCGGGGGUAACUCCUGAUAUACCUCCUCAAUAUGCUUAUCAGUGGCAACUUUCACUGCAUUUUUUCAUCAGGUUCUAAAAUUUUCUGUUCUAAAUGAUCAAUCACUUUAAUAGAGUAAACAUCAUUAGGGCAUUUUAUGGAAAUAUUGAAUUUAACAAUUCUAUCAUCAAAUUCCAUCAUAAUUGUGCAAUCAUGAAUAUCUAUCUUAGUUUUGGAUGUCCUUAAAAAUGAUCUUCCUAGAAAAAUGGGGUAGUUUGAUCAUUAUUACCAUAUCAAGCACAUAAAAAUCAGCGGGAAAAUCAAAUCAUGAAUGUCUAGGAGUGUAUGGUUGCCUGUAUUGCUGGAAGUUUGGGCAAUUUUUAGGCAUUAGUUGAUUCACUUGUUAAUUCCCAUAGCUAAGGUUGUAAUGAUCCCUCCAUCCUGGGUUAUAAGUGCUUGAGUAAGGAUCAUAAUUCCUUUGUGAUUGUCCAGGAAAGCCAUACAUUUCAUUAACUUGUUCACUGGGGUCUUUUUAAAGAGUUGGGCACAUGUCAGUUGGAUGCCUUGUUACCGAACAGAUUCCACAAGCCUUUGUUAUUUACAUAGUUUCUGCAGCCAUUUGAUGAACAAAAGAAGUUAGACUCGCUAGUUAUUGUUCAAUAGAUGAAACAUUUACCUUAUUAACAGGUCUAUAAAGGGUAUCGAGUCUAGUAACAAAUUGCUGAGAGUUGGCUGCCAUGUUUGCAAUCAAGUUACUCGUGCCCUCGGGAGUUUUGUCCACCGAAGCUCCUUCACUUGCAACAUCAAUCAUACUCCUAUAUGUGGGUAGAAGACCUUCAUAAAAAUAUUGAAUGAGAAGCUGCUCACUAAUUUGAUGGUGGGGACAGCUUGCACAUAGUCACUUGAAACGCUCUCAGUAUUCAUGUAAGGAUUCCCUGCUACCCUGCAUAACACCACAAAUUGCCUUUCGGAUGUUUGCUACACUUGAAGCUGGAAAAUAUUUCUCUAAAAACAACCUCUUCAUCUCCUCUCAUGUUGUGACAUUUCCAGAUGGUAGAUAGUAGAGCCAGUCCUUAGCUGCGUCCUUCAAUGAGAAUGGGAAAGCUCUCAAUUUGAUUUGCUCUUCAGUUACCCCUGUGGGUUGCAUACUCGUGCAUACCACAUGAAAUUCCUUUAAAUGCUUAUGAGGAUCUUCACCUGUAAGACCACGAAAGGUGGGAAAAAGAUGUAUUAGUCCAGACUUCAAUUCAAAAGCAGUGGUAACAUCUAAAGUAGGAAAAGUGAUGCAGAGAGGUUGUUCAUUCAAAUUUGGAGCUGCAAGCUCCUUCAAAUUUUGAUGUCCAGCCAUGUGUCCCUCGAAAUUUCGUUGAAUGCCACUCUUUAACCUGUGCGAAGCUUUUUUUCUAAUUCUGGAUCGCACUGCAAAUCAGUUUGGUUAGAGGAUCGAGUUAUGGGCAUAAAAAAUUAAGGAAGUUAUUUAUUAAAAAAAAGUAAACUAAAAUAAACAAAUUAAACAAAAAAGAAAAGAUUAAAAAAAACUAAGUGAACAAAUAAAAAGCACAAAAAUAAACUAAAUUACUCCUCGACAACGACGCCAAAAUUUGGUGUAUUGUCCCAGGCACCCAAAAAUAAUCAAACCUACACUUCCAAAAAUUGUAUGUAGUAGUGGAAGUAAGGAUCGUUCCCACGAAGAAUGAUUAGUCUAAUUUUAUGCAAUGUUAACAAUAACGAAUGGUUUUGUUUGUGAUGAAAUCAAUUUUAACUAGAAGCAAUGCAAUUUAAUAAAUUAGAUAAAAUCAAUAGAAUGAACCUUGAUUUAAGUUAAUAUCCACUGUAGGAAUUUCAAAUUGAUCAUGGAUAUAUGAAUGAUUAUCAAUUCAUAUUUUUGCAUUAAUCGCUGGAAUUUAUUUUUCCUAUUUCUUUUUAGUUGUAAUUAAUCUGAAAACAAGCAAUCCAAUCAAUCCUUAUUAUCAAAUGACCUAAGAAAAGCACUUAAGAUUUAGUUUAAUAACAGCAUGGGAAACUAGAGAAAUCGAUGAAACUAAACAACUCAAUCACAAGCGGUCAUGUUUAAUCUAGUCAAAUAUCCUCUCUAGAAUUUAAUAACCUCUAAACGAACGAUUAAUAAAGCUCUAGUUACUUCAUAAUGUCAAAGAUAUCAAACAAUUACAUAUUUGUUCUUUAAACAAGCAAUAGAUUGUGGUACAUGAACAUCUAAUAGGCCUCUUAGAAUUAAAAUAUAACAACCAUGAAAUCAUGCAUAGAAAAAUAUUCAAUACAUAAGAUAUGAAUGAAAGCAAUGAAAUUUAUUUAGAUCUCACAGUUUGAAUCAUUCCUAGGCUUCAAUAUCCUUUGACUAAGAGAUGGAGUUUAGCAAUACAUUAAUAAUCCUUAAGUAAAAAGAGAGAGAAGUCUAUGAUGUUCGUUCUUCGCCUCCAAAAAUAUGUAGGAUAUAAGAUUUUUAGGCCAAAAAAAGAGGUUCUCUUCAUUCUGGCAUCUUUAGGUAUAUAUAUGAUAUUAAAAAUAUUUUUUCCAUGUAGAAUUUCAUCAGAAUAAGGAAAUUGGCCCGUCACAAAAAUUUUGACCCGUGCUCGCGCGCCAUAUAUUUCAUUAUGUGUGCGCCACUUUGUUGUUUUGCUCUCAGUACGCAAGAUUGAGGUCCCCCGUGCGCACAGUAUAAAAUAAUUUCAUUUGUUGCACUUUGAUUCCUCAAUUUCAAUCUUCAUUUGUUUUAACUCUUUUUUGAUGUCUUCUUACUCCUUUAGCUUUCAGUUCCAUCUAAUUGAAUUCACACCUUCUCCAAUCAUCGAUAUUAGGUCCAAAUCAACUAUUAGCACUUUGAAUUUUAAUCCCCAAGCUUUGGAUUAAUUUCUUUUUAGCACCUUUUUCAUUUCUUUCUUCCAAAUCCAUCAAUUUGCAUUGAUGCCAACCUCUUUGACUUCUUUAUUCAUCAAAUUGACUUCCAACACUUUUGAAUCUUCAUUUUAUUGCCCGUCUCAUGUAUGGAUUAUUUUCAACUUGGUCAUCAAGCUUUUACUUUCUUCCAUUUUGAUCCUUUUUUGCUAUUUUCUUCCAAACUCCAUAUUUUCCAUCCAUUUACAACCUGAACCAAAAUAUAAGGGUACUGAGUACAUUUAGGCGUUAAUUAAUCACAAAAACGCGAGUAUUAAUGGAUGUAAAAAACGACAUUUUAUGUCUUAUCAAAUUCCCUUAGACUAGGCUUUUGUCCGUGUUUGAGUAAAAUUCAAAUUUACUUUCACAAAAUAUUAAGAUUGCCAUUCCAUCAAUAUAGAACAACCAGACUCAUGAAAACACAUAACAAUUCAUGAACAGACAAUCUCACACAGCUUGUAAUCAAUUAGCAAGUAUUCUCAUAUAAAGUUAGAGUAAACCAAACAUGUAGACUCUCACAGGAUAUAAGCACUCAACUCUCAUGUGUUUAAAGGCUAAGUGUUUCGCUCAAGUUCAUUCCAACGAACAAGAUCUACCAUAUGCUUGCAUGUCUUCUCAUUCUCCACCAAUUAGAUCACAUGCAUUACACAAAUCAUAAGGUUUUUUCACAGGUUGUAACGUGGGUUAGGGUUCAAGUGUGAGAUAUUUGGGUAAGGAACCGUCUUAUGUCUAGUUAUGCCAUUUUCUUUACACAUACUAUCAAAUUCAGUGUUGCAAAAUUCUAGGCCGUUAUCUGUCCUUAAAAAUUUAAUCUUUUUGCUGGUUUGGUUUUCAAUUUGUCUCUUCUAGUUAUUGAAGUUUUGGAAAGUCUUAGAUUUAUCUUUUAAUAAAUAGACCCAAACUUUCCUAGUAUAGUCAUCGAAAUAGAUAGGAAAUAUCUAUUCCCACCCGAUGUGAGAUUACUAGCAAGAUCCCACAGAUCAGAAUGCACAUAUUCAAGCAUGCCUUUAGCCUUAUGAACACUCGAGGAGAACGAUAUUUUAUGAUACUUACCAAGCACACGGUGAUCACAGAAUGACAAAUCUGACACACAGUCAUGACCAACUGCACCUUUUUCAUUAAGUAGCUUAAGUCCCUUAAUACCUACGUGCACAAGUCUAUUAUGCCAUGUGUGUGCGAUCAAUCUUGACAGAAGAGAUAAAGGAGUUCAAACCUCUAAUCACUUUCUCAGUAGUGAUAUAUAAAUGUCAUUUUUCUUAGUCCCUUUAAUAGAAACUAACGCGCCCUUAAUCAUCUUUAGCAUUCCAUUUCAAAUUUUACCAAUGAAGUAAUCUUUUUCAAGUCUCCCUAUUAAAAUCAAAUUCCUAGACAAUUCAGGAAUAUAUCUAGCAUCCUUUAACAUGUACACAAAACCCGUGUCAAAUUUUAUGUUCAUGUCACCAAUUCCAACAAUAGUAUAUGCAAAGUUAUCACACAGCAUAAUAUGCCCAGCAUUAGAUUCAUACAAGUUAUCAAACUAAUUCUUUUCAAAUGUUACAUGAAAAGAAGCACCAGAAUCAAAUUCCACUCAUGCAUGCGAGAAUUAGCAGUAAGAUUUAAUUCAGUAGUGUAUGUAACGGGACUUGUAAUCAUAUAGACCUCACCGUUAUCUAUAUCAGAAGUAGAGGAUAGUACAUUUACCUCAUCUCUCUCCUUACCUUUAACUUACCCUUCUCUUUAUGGCAACCUUUUAUAAAAUACCCCGCGUUCCCACAGCCAUAGCAUUUUCUAAUCUUAGUCCUAGAUUUUGAUCUAGACCUACCCUUGCCCUUCUUUUUCCCUCCAUUACCACUCGACUCGCCACCGCUUUGGUAUCCAUCAUGACUAUUUUGCCUAAACUAAGCUCUACCCCACAUCAUAUGUAACUCAUCGCUCCUCUUAUUGUGUUUUUCAACCCUAAUUUCCAUCUCUUUACUCUUAAGAGAAUCAAUGACAAUUUUAUGUGCCAAUGUAUCCCUACCAUACUUAAUGGCAUUUUUAACUUCCUUAUAAGAAUCAGAAAUAGCAUUGAACAAGAUUAUAGCUUUAUAAGUUUCGGACACAGCUUCAUCACAAUUAACGAGAUCUUGCACCAAUUUGUUAAACACAUCUAAAUUGUCAUCGAGAUCCUUUGAAUGAUCCAUUUUAAAACUGAAAAAACUUUCAAGCAGGUAGAGUUUAUUUAGUGUAGAUUUAAGCAAAUACAAGUCUUUCAACUUUUUUUUAAAGUUCUUUGGUGGUUUUCAGUUUACCCACCUCCCUUAAAACGUUGAUUUUUUUUUGACCCUAUGAAUGUUUUUGAAGCUUACCAAUGGGCUUUGCACUUGGAGAAAACCUUGUCUAGGAGGACUUGGAGUACUGGUAUUGGUGGGGUGAGCAAUGGUAGUAGUAUUGGAAGAAAUGAGAUGAACCAACCACGAACUGUAUGUACUCCAUCUUCACAAACUAAAGGGGCACUAAUGCCCAGUCGAGUAGGGGGGUAGCAUCAAGUUCCUAGGCACGAUGUUUCAAGUGUAAUGAGAAGGGUCAUCGCACGGUAGAUUGCAAAAAAAGUGGUAGAUAUGGUAAGGGGUUAUUCAUUAAUUCUAGAAUUCAGCUGCUGAUGUCGAUCAAGAACCUAUUUACGAUGAUAGAGAGGAGGAAUACGAAGAGGAACAGGUUGCAGGUGAUGAAGGCCCUUUGUUAGUAGUGAGGAGGGCGUGUUUGGCACCUCUUAAGGAUGAAGAAGAUAACUGGCUACGUCACAAUAUCUUCCAGUCGAACUGUACCAUUGGCGGCAAGGUUUGUCAACUUAUCAUUGAUUCAGGCAACUACGAGAACGUGAUUUCUGGUGAGACUAUUAAGAAGUUGGGAAUGGAGAUGGAGAAGCAUCCUAUUUCUUACAAAUUGGCAUGGCUCAAGAAGAGAAGUGAGGUAACUAUUUCUAAGCGUUGCUUAGUCUCAUUUUCUAUCGGCGCGAAGAAUAAGGAUAAAAUUUGGUGUGACGUGAUAACCAUGGAUGCAUGUCAUCUUUUAUUGGGUCGAUCAUGGCAAUUUGAUAGGGAUGUUAUCCACGAUGGAAGGCAAAAUACGUAUAGUUUUGUGUUUAACAAAGUAAAGAUUGUCUUACUCCCUAACAAAAUGGAGGAGUCCCAAAACGCUUCGGGAGGGGGAGAGCAGAUUUUGUUAGCUAGGAGGGACUUUAUGAAUGAGUUAUAGGAGUUUGGAGUGGUGUGUUUGUGUUGUUGGGAAAAGAGGGUUAUGCAGGGAAAAAGGUACCAGCUCGCGUGAACAAAUUAGUUGAGGAAUUUUCUGAUCUAUUUCUAGAUGAACUACCGGAAGGUUUGCCACCAUUGAGAGAAAUACAACAUCAAAUUGACUUGGUUCCUGGUUCUAACAUACCGAACCGACCACAUUAUAGCAUGACCCCCAAGGAGCAUGAGGAGCUUAGGCAUUGGGUAAAGACCUUGUUGUCAAAGGGUCAUAUCAGAGAAAGUCUUAGUCCCUGUGUUGUGCCAACAUUACUUACUCCAAAAAAAGACGAGUCCUGGAGGAUGUGCGUUGACAGUAAGGCUAUCAACAAAAUCACAAUUAGGUACAGAUUUUCUGUUCCUUGACUAGAUGAUUUGUUGGAUCAACUAAGUGGUGCUACUGUGUUUACCAAGUUAGAUUUGAAGAGUGGUUAUUGUCAGAUACGUAUACGUCCAGGAGAUGAGUGGAAAACUUCUUUCAAAACUAGGGAGAGGUUGUAUGAGUGGUUGGUGAUGCCCUUUGGGUUAUUUAAUGCCCCCAGUACCUUUAUACGGGUGAUGAACCAGAUUUUUAGGCCGUUCAUUGGCCGGUGUCUUGUAGUUUAUUUCGACGAUAUAUUGACAUAUAGUGCUAUUGUGGAGUUGCAUCUUCAGCAAUUAAGAGAGGUUUUGGAGGUACUACGCAGGGAGAAGUUUUUCGUAGCCUUAGCCAAAUGUUCUUUCAUGAUGAACUCGAUCUUAUUUCUAGGCUAUGUAGUUUCCAAGGCUGGUCUAUAUGUCGAUGAAUCCAAAGUUGCAACUACUCGAAACUGGCCACUUCCUACCACUAUUCAGGAGGUACGUAGCUUCCAUGGGUUGGUAUCUUUUUACAGGCAUUUUAUUCCAAAUUUUAGUACUGUUACGGUACCACUCAUGGAUUGUAUGAAGGGUGAAAAAUUCAUGUGGACAAAUGAAGCAAUCGAGGCAUUUGAACAAAUUAAGGAGAAGUUAAUAACCGCUUCUAUACUUGUGAUGCCGGAUUUUUCUCAACCUUUUGAGUUAUAUUGUGAUGCCUCUGGAGUUGGCAUUGGGGCCAUUCUCAGUCAAGGGAGCAUGCCCGUGGCUUACUUCAAUGAGAAAUUGAAUGGGUCCAAACUUAAAUAAAGUACCUAUGAUGUGGAAUUUUUUUCUGUUGUUCGGGUCUUGAAGCAUUAGAGCUCUUAUCUAGCAUAUAAUGAGUUCAUCCUCUAUUCAGAUCAUGAGGCAUUGAAUCGCCUUCAUAAUCAGGAUAAACUCUCCACUAGACAUGCACGUUGGGCAUCUUACACUUAAUAAUUUUCUUUCAUCAUUAAACACAAAGAAAACCAAUUUUGUGUGCCCGAAGGGAGUCGACGCCUGAAGAUUAUUCAAGAAUUACACAAUAAAGGUCAUGUGGGGCAUGACAAAACUUUGAAGCUUAUCACGGAGCAAUUUUUCUGGCCUCAUAUGCAGAACGAAGUCGCAAAAUUUGUGGAGGGAUGUAAGAUUUGUCAGGUCUCGAAAGGGAAAGCAACUAAUGCAAGUCUUUAUUUGCCCUUGCCUAUUCCAGACCGACCUUGAACUAGUGUUAGCAUGGAUUUUGUGUUGGGGUUGCCUAGAACACAAUGCGAAUAUGAUUCUAUUUUUGUGGUGGUAGACAGGUUCUCCAAGAUAGCACACUUUGUGGCUUAUAAGAAGACAUCAGAUGCUGUUCAUGUGGCACAACUUUAUUUUCGUGAGAUAUAUCGAUUACAUGGAUUGCCAUCGUCCAUUGCGUCUGACAAAGACACUCAUUUUCUUAGCCACUUCUGGAGAUGUUUGUGGUGUUUGUCUAAUACCAAGCUCGACUUUAGUAGUACCUAUCAUCCUCAAACCAAUGGACAAAUCGAAGUUGUAAACCUUCUUUGGGAGACUUGUUACGAUAUCUGGUGGGUGAUCACUUGAAGUCCUGGGAUCAGAAAUUAUUUCAGGCUGAGUUUGCUUACAACCGGUCUACUAAUAGGAGUACGGGGUUUAGUCCUUUUCAUGUAGUUUAUGGUUAUAACCCUCGCGCACCACUUGAUUUAGCUCCUCUUCCUGAUAUCAGACGAGUUCAUGUCAAGGCUCAAGAUUUAAUAAGUCAAAUUCAGAAAACCCAUGAAGCAACGGUCAAGAACUUGCAAGAUUCUAUUGCCAGGUAUAAGGUGACUGCGGAUGUGAAGAAGCAUUUUGUGGAGUUUGAAGUGGGAGGUUUUUAUGGGCUAUCUGACAAAAGAUCGAUUUUCUACUGCUCGGAAAAUUGGACUGCUGGAAAUAAUUGAAAAGAUCAAUCCUAAUACAUACAGGUUGAAACUUCCAAGCAAUGUGGUGACCAGUGAUGUCUUUAAUGUCAAGCACCUGAUUCCAUAUGUUGGCGAUUCAUCAAUGGAGUACUCGAAUUCGAGGGCGAAUUCUCUCCAACUCGGGGAGGAUGAUGUAGAUUGUGUGGCAGCAACAGGAUGAUUAGUCCAUGUGAUGGCAUGAGAUAUAGAAAUAAACCAAUUUAUUUUACCAAGUUAUUUUAUUAGCUUUUCUUUCUAUUAUUUUUAUUAUUAUGUUGGUCGAGUUUAAGGAAAGUUCCAAUAAGUUAAUUAUUCUGCCAGUCAAUGUUUUGGUAAGUUUUCUACCUAGUUUUUUUUAGUUUUUAUUUAUAUUUGGGGGCAUAUUCUGAAAGGACGUUUUUUGGAGAUAGAAUUAACAUCAAUAAGAAUUUUCUUUCUUAACUCCUGCAUUCCUAGUUCUGGUUCUAGGUUGUGGAAGAGUUGUGAACUUACUGUGAUCACAGAUUUUGCUUCUGUUCCGUUUUCCUGCUGCAUUACUACCCCUACUGGCUCGGUCCAAAUUUAUAGGUUGGGCAAAGCA
rnacentral:lncRNA from 1 species